rnacentral:lncRNA from 1 species
CAACUGCCACACCAUCAGGGAAACUACCUUGUUGGUAAAUUUUGUUUACCUUUUCAAUAUUUUCGCAAACAAAACUUCCUAGAUGACCACGUGACAAGAAUGAAACAGAACGGAACUCCUCUUCGAUGGUUUUCACUUCAUUGCCUACAUUUUCUACAUCUUUGAGCCAGUUCGCCACUUCUUUCUUCAUCUUUUUCCCACAACGUUCCUCUGCUUCCAUUUUUAAUUCAAGGUCUCGCUUUCGAGAAUUUAGACUAUUUACAUUUCCUCGAAGCUCAUUCAUAUAAUCUUCAAGUUUCCGAUGAUGAUUUAUGUAUGGACCCCCAAAGCUCCUUAUCACUUCAACAAAUGACAAUAUCCAAUCCAUAUUAUAAGCUCACUGCAAUUUAAAAACCCAACGUAUGUUAAGAUUCUUGCUUCACUUGUUAUGUUUGAGUAUAACAAAGAUAAAAUUGUUAAUGAAGCUUUGUUUCAAUGGUAAGGAAGAUGUGUAAGUUCGAUAUUACUUUUAUGCUAGUUAUUUAUUUAUUUAUUUUAUUGAUAAUUUGUUCAUUAUUUUUUACACUGAACGUAAUCAUUUGUUUUAUUAUGACUGUAAUUUGUACUUGUUCAUGUAAUAUAAAAAAAUAUAUAUAUAAAAAAGCAUUUUUGUUUUUAACUAAAAUUCUGAAUUUCUGGUGUUUGAUUAAUUAGUAAUGAGUUGUUUAAUUACUAUAUUUCUUAAAUUCUGUUUUAGAAUAUCGGGUGAAGCAUCUGUAAUACUUUUAUAAACCAUUACCAAAUGUUUUAUUCCUUCUACCUUAUUUUUUAUAUUUUCCUUCAAAAUUUCCUUAAUAUUCCACUUUCAAGCAAAACUAAGUAAAUAUAAACCAUAAAUAAUUAAUAAAUGAUUUAUUUUUCUUUCUCCCCUGUUGAUAACUAUCAAAAAUUCUUGGAUAUUAAUUACAUCAUCAAUAAAAGGAGGGAUAAAGAAGAAACACUAAUUUUCAAUAAAGAUAAACAUCAAAGGCACUAAAGAAUAUUAAUUAAUAUUUUUUUGAACAGUUCUAAAAAAUUUCAAUUAUGGAUUAAUAUAAUCUAAAUAUAAGUAAGGAAGUUUGUGAAAACAACAAUAUAUCCCACAAAGACAUUAAGAAAUAAUUGCAGGAAUAAAUUGUGAGAGUAAUGACCUUCAGGAUAUAUACCUGGCUUGUUCUUCAAAUUAUUCGGAAAGAUGAAACCCAAAGGUCAGUUAAAUGAUCCACAAACCUCCUUGUCUCUUUGUUAAGCACAACCUUCUUAGGCAGAAGAAAGAAGCUGGCAUAAAAUUAACAAGGAAAAUUAGUAGUGUUAAUAAAAGUGAAAAUCUAAUGUGGUAUAGUCUUCAGAGUUAUUUGCCUAAAUAAGAAAAUAGAGGACACAAAACAAAGAACCAAAAUAAUUAAGUGGAAGGAAAGAUGAUGAAUUUAAGAUUCCAGAAAACAUGAACCCAAAUCUAUAUUAAACAGUUUAAUUACCUGGUCAAGUGAGGUAGAUGAGGUGGUACUUGUAUCCUUAGAGGGUCUUAAGUCUGUGAAAGCAGGAAACUAAGAUCUCUGUUAAAUUUGUGAAGAAAACAGCAACAAGCAGAUCUCCUCCCAAACUAUUAUCUAUGAGAAGAAAAUGAAUAAUGAAGCACAUGAAUUAUUGAAAAGUGGACAAGGUAAAUAUUUAUGUGGAAACUAAAAUAAAUGCCCAACUUGUGUUGGAAGGUAUGGUAAGAUGAAUUUAUGUCAUAAGUUAAGAUUCUGAUUAAUUACUGCUACCAAAGAUAAACAUAAAUCACACAAAUAUAAACAGUUUACCUGGUUCACGGAGACAGUGAACUGAUUCUUCUGUCGUUAGAAGGUCUUUGUUAAAUUUGAGAAGCAAGCACACUCAGGAAAUAUAGCAGCAAUAAGCAGAUGAUCUCCGUGAGAAGAGAAUCGAUGAAUUGUGAAGCUAAAAGAAUUAAGAGCUGGCAAGUCAAUGCAAAGUCGUCGCACAAAUUGUACAUUCACUUUCCUUGAAGUUGUUUCACAGUAAUGCAAAUGUAAAUUCACUUUCCUUGAAGUUGUUUCACGGUAAUGCAAAUGUGAAUAGAAGAAAAACUGACAAAGUAGGACUGAAUUAUGGGGCCACUUGUCCUACUUUCCACUCCUUCAUUAUUGUCCUUCUUGUCUUCUGUUUGGCAAUAAUGCAAGUAUGAAUUUAACAGAUGCCCUGGAUUAAGAAACUUAUAACUUUAAUAGAAGUUUAUAAUUUAAGAAGUGAAUUAGUCUAACCAAAAAACUGAACAAUUAUUUUUUUGUUGCUGAUAACAAAGGUUUGAUUAUACACAGAAUGUAAUAAGUUAUGAUCUCCUAAAUUUAGUCCAUCUUAUAAGUGCUUGAAUUCAUAUAUACUAAUGUCCUCAGUCUUGAAUUCUUUUCUUAUUGCUGAUAACAAUGGUUUACUUAUGUUCAGAAUGAAAUAGGUUAUGAUCUCUUAAAUGGAGUCCAUUUUAUAAGGAGACAGGAAAGAAAGAGCCCUGUGUUUGAUGGCAGUGAGGCAACCAGAUUGAUUUUCCACUAAUUAGCCACAUCAGAUUACUAUGUAUAGCCACUAAGUCAAGUGAAGCAACGAUCUCCUAUCAAGAAAAUAACAAACAGCACAUCUCCUGGCAAAUUAACUCAUCUAUAAUGACAAGAGAAUGAAUUAAUAAUUUAAAAGUGGGCAAGUCAAUGCAAGUCAUGAUGUUGGUUUCGGGGUCACUUCCCUUAAAGCUGCUUUAAAAUAAAGCAAAUAGGAAUCGAAUAAAAGAUGAUAACGUGAGAGUGAAUACUGCUUCAUAUUUCUUAAAGACACAAUCAUGUAAGCUAUUUCGUUCAGUGCCUGGAUCAUAUGUAUGCACAUGUGCAUGCAUAGGACCAACUUUAAAACGAGCCCUGUCAAUCAUAGAUUAUAUCAUUCGUGAUAUAAUCUGAUGAAUAACAGGUGAUAUAAUCUGAUGAAUAACAGGUCAUUGCCAAUAUCACAAGAGUUAUUGAUAAAAACUAAAACUUGGGAAAUGUUGACAAGUAUUUGUAUAUUUAUACUAUACACAGAAAAGACUCAAGAAGGUCUUUGUUAAAUUUGAGAAACAAGCACAGUCAAGAAAAAUAGCGGCAAUAGCAACAAGCAGAUGAUUUCAGUGAGAAGAGAAUCCAAUAAUUAUGAAGCAAUAAGAAUUACAAGUCAGCAACUCAAUGCAAAGUCGUCGCAGAAGCUGUAAAGUAACUUCCCUUGAAGCUGUUUCACAAUACUGCAAAUGUGAAUUGAAGAAAAACUGACAAAGUAGGACUGAAUUAUGGGGCCUACUCUCCUCCAUCAUUGUCCUUCUUGACUUCUGUCGCGAUAAAGAAAAUAUGAAUUGAACAAAAACUGACAGACUAGUAUUAUUGUCCUCGCAACUUUCUUUCACAAGGGCACCCAUUUUUAUGUCCUAAGGCAAAGACCAAAAUUAUCUGGGAACAAUCAAAGAAAGUUGUAUGUCCUUUGCUACUUGCUAGCUAUCUUGACUAAUAUUGUAUGUAACACUUAUUAUUUUCUAUAAAUUUUUACAUAAUAACAAAUUUGAUGUAAAGUUCAUUAGUUAAUGGUACGUUAAUUCACUUGAUCGAUAACUAAUUAAAAUGUGAAAAGUGUAAUUUUAUUAAUUCCGUAGAAUUAUUUUAGUGAAGUUUCUAAGUAUAUCAUCUAAUCCGGUAUCUAGCAUCAUUAUUUCUACUUUUUUUUUUCCUUUUGUAUAAGUAUAUCGAUAACCAACAAUUAUUUUCAGGGUUGUUUAACAUACUAUGGCCACUGUCAUGCAUUGCUAUGUCUAGUCUAUAAUUCAUGGAGGAAUCCCUCCUCGGUUCAUUUCUCUAUUUUACUCUAUUCUUUCAAUUUUGCAGUCUUCAUGAUAUAAGAAGCAAUAGAAAAAAUAAUUUUGGAAUUUUGAGUCUUCCAAAUGAUCAAAAUUACACACACUACAACAAAUUUGACUUAAAACAGCACAUUUUAUAAAUGUGUUACUAAAAAUAUUUUUAAUAACACUUUUUUUAUGUUUUUUAGAACAGCUUUUUAGAUCUAAUUUUACUAUAUACAUUUUUAGAUGCAUUAUCAAUAAAAUGUAACAAUAGAAAUUAUAUACACUAACAAAUGUUGCAUUUUACUGUACAAAAAAUAUAUCGUCCAAACAAGUGUGGUUAAAACUUAAUUUUUUUGCUAUUACAUCAAACACUCAAAUAUUUCAACAUCUUAUCUUCUCACACUUUUGACCCGUUAAUUCAUUUAAUGCAUCCUUCCACUCACAAAUAUAUGUCAUUUACUCCAUGCUACCUAAUAUUGUCAGAAUGGCGUGUCUUUGCCAAAUACUUCUAAUAGGCCCUAACUGAUUAGGCAAAACAUAUCUUCAAAUUGGAAUAAUUAAGGGAUUGGACUUAUCUACAAGAACCAACAUCUGAAGUUGCAAGGAAUAUAAUCUUACUCCAAAAUGGAAUUUGUAAUUAUAGAGUCUUACAAAUGCUAAUUACAUAGCACAAAUUAAUGAUCAGAUAAUGCAGUCUUCCUAGAUGGAUGAUUUGAAUAUGAGAAUUAUGAGCUGAGUACAGUGGAGAUUUUUCCUCACAUUUUUCUAUAAUAUUAUUUAUGAGCAGCCUUAGCUUCAUAUAUUAUCAAUUAGUGCAUGGGAAGCUUUGAAGAACAUUAUGAGACAAUUAGUAAGUAUUCAUAACUAUAUAGAAAAGAAAGGAUAGCUUCUAUAUGAAGCAUUUUGCUUGCAAAAUACAUGCAGGGUGCCACAUGAUUGGAUAUUUCAGUUGUAUGGAUAUUUGAAGUCCUAGGAUAGCAAUUGUUUGGGAAGAAAGAAUUUCUGAGAAACUUUCCUCAAUGUUGACAGGGACUUUUCAUAUCAUCUGUUAUGACAAUUUGACUUCCACUAACCCUCACCACUUUCCCCAUUUUUUUGGGUAAUAAAAAGAAGUUGAUUUUUUCCAACUUAAAUUGAGGUAUUUGACAGGCUACUGAUGAUCUAAAAGACUUCACUAUCCAAUUGCAUGGGCCUCAGGGCACAAUUUGAACAUCAAAUACAAAAUUCAACCUGGUUGAGCUCCCAACUGUGUAAAGAAAAAAUCAAUUAAAUAUUGUUCAAUUCUUGCUUGUAACGUCUGCAGAUUGUAUAUGAGACUGAUGGAGUAAUAAAUAUGUCUAACCCAGAGAAAUCAUGGAUUAAUCAACUCGUUCUUUUAAAAGGGAAGGCAUCACAUUAGUUCAUCUACUAACUAAACCUUUACAAGCGGAAUAUUGGAUUAAAGUUAAAACAAGGGAUCUCUCUUUGAUAUAAACUAGUCCUAAAGAAUUUAUAGGAUAAUUGAGAGAUUGAAUACUGAAAUUGAAGAAGUCCAAACUUUUGUUUGGCAUAUAUUCAUAAACCAGCAUCUUUUCCUCUCCUUCAAUGCAACAUCCCAGGAGCUUUACAAGAUUUCGAUGUUGAAGCUUGGCAAUUAGUGCUACUUCAUUUUUGAACUCAGUUAAACCUUGUCCAGAGCUUCUUGAAAGCCUCUUCACAGCGAUCUCUUGUCCAUCUACCAGGUUACCCUGAAAAAAAUGUACUUUAAAGAGUUGUAACUUUGUUCUAAACAUACUUCAUACUUUGUCUUCUGAUCAAUUUCACCAGAAUGUUGCAAAUUUACCCUGUAUGCAUGCCCAAAACCACCUUGUCCUAGUUUGUUGUCAAUGGAGAAAUCAUUGCUUGCUUCGGAUACUAAUGAUAAGUCGAAUAACUGGACUUCUGAGUCUUCGCUUUGCCCUUCAGUGCUCCUGUCCUUUAUCACAUGGUUUUCUCUAGCCCCUGAAACAUUUUAGUACAUACUAACAUUAGCCAUAGAAGGCUAUAUCAUGUUGGUCAAUUGUAUUUCUGAACAGACUAGGGAAGUUGGUAAUUAGUAUUCUAAAACAUAGUGAAAACAUGAUUUGUGAAAGCAAAUGGAUCAGAUAGUGUUACCUUAUAAACAGCUCCAAAACCACCUUCCCCUGGCUUGUUGUCCAUAGAAAAGCUAUGAGUAGCAAGCGCAAAUAUUGCAAGCUCCAAGUCUUCAUCCAGGCCUUGAUUUUCUGAAUCAUUUUCCUUAUUGUUUUCUGUUUCUCUGAAAUAGUAGUCAAAAUAGGCUUUUUAUUCACCAUAAAAUAUGCAUUCUAAUUGAGCUAGAUAACUGAACAUAAAACUCAUUUUUCACACCAAUAAGCAUUGAAAACUACUUAUUUUUUGAGAAAAAAAAAACAUUAUUCCAAUGAACUGGCAAACAAUCUAAUUUACUUCUUUUGAAGAAACUGCAUGUGGAUAAGUGGAUUAGGUAGCAUCACUAUUAACAAGGUAAUUUUUUUUGUUUAUUUAGCUAAGGAAUUGAAUGACAUAUUUGUGAAGGAUAUGUCAAAAUUACCUUUCAACUUUCUGCGGACUCUGUAAAUGUAAUAACUGAUUAUAAACAGCCCCAAAAGUGCAACACAGCGGUUUUGCAAUAGAUGCAACAAGCUUCAACCUUGGCUUAUCGCAUCCAAGCUUGGCUUUCUGCAUUCCAUGUGUAGCCUUGUAUCAUCAGUUUGGUUAGGAGCAAGUCCUGUGAUCAAUGAUUUCUAUUUGAGACAUUUUGGAUGGUUGACAUAUAAAAUACAAACACCAGGUGGGUUGAUCAUGCAUUGUUUUUAUGAGAUGAUGUGAUUGACUGACUCUUGAUCAAUGAACUGUACACAAAGUGCAGCAGAAAACAAUUUAUAAACAUUGAGAUUCCAGAUAAUUACUUGUAUUGAAUAAUUUCCAAUUCAUCAACCAUUUCACACCAGUAGACAUUUUCAUUAAAAGCACAAGGCACAAGCAUCAGCUGGGAAUGCAAUUACUUGAUUAUUAAAACAUAACUCAAAGCAUAGUCUUACGAACAGUAUAUAAACAGAGUUUGUAGCAUGGGAGAUGUGAGGAUACAACUCCCUAACCAACCUUUAACAUCGAUAUGGUUAUUUCAUUCUACAUGCCCACAGCAAAUGGAAAAGGAAACAAUAAUGUCUAAUCAAUCUUACUUGUUCAACAAGGAUUUGAAGGAUAACAGCUAAAUCAAUAAAUUGGCGUUGAAUUAAGUUAUAAGAUUUUGAUCACAAACAGAGGAAGUCCUCUCAUAAAUGAAUCAAACAAUAUUUAUGGCAAGUGAGGCAUGCUUGGUGCUGUUAAAGAUUUGCUUAUGAUUGAAUAAUCCUAUUAACUACUAACUUGUUCAUAAUGUUUUUAAACUAGCAUUUUUUAAAUAAUGCUAGUUUAAAAUAUGACCAUAUAUAUAUAUAUAAGAAAAAGAAUACUAUGGACCCUAAAUAUUACUUUAAUCAUUUUAUUAUAUCUUUUAACAUUUUAAUUCAUAAUAAUUUAAAGAUUUUAUUUACGUGUUAGAGUUCUCUUAUUAUUUUAUUUAUGUAUAUAGAUUUUUUUUCUUUUUAAAUUUGAAAAAAAUUUCAAACCUGGCUUGUAAUAUGUCAGUGAAAAAGAAAAUAAAGGGAUGUAGGCAAAGAGCUUAAUUAACUCUUUUGAAGAAACUGCAUGUGGAUUUGCUAGCAUCAAUAUUAACAAAGUAAUUAUUUUUUUGUUUAUUUAGCAAAGAAGCAAAAUAAGCAUAUUUGUUAAGGGUAUAUCAAAGUUACCGUUCAACUUUGCAUUGCCUCUGUAAAGGUAAUGACCGACUGUAUACAACCCCGAAAGCACAGCAUAGUGGUGUUGCAAUUACUGCAGGAAGUUUUAUCCUAGGCUUAUCUUUCAAUUCUGUAUGGCGAAAUUUGAUAAGGAAAAGCAUACAUGAACAAAAAUGAAAAAAGCAGCGAAAACAAGAGAAAAUGCAGACUCAUACCUGAUUCUGAAGCAGACACUCUUAACAUAUAGAUCCUGCCCUUUUGAUUCAAAUUGUCUGCAAUCAAUCAGAUUAUCAAACCAAAGGGCCCAACCACUACCUCUUCCUCUAUUAUCUGAACUAGUGUAUGCCAUAUAGGAAUAGUUCUGUAGAUACUUAGCCCUGCAUCCCUUGAGAUUCAUAGUUUUAGUCACCCAAGAAUGUGUAGCAUCUGGCAUUUUUAAAUCCUUUAAAUCUAAUAAAUCCAUCUCUGCUUUGGCAGUUGAAUGGCUUGUUGUGCUUACACCCUUGGCACCAGUCUGAUGAGUUCUGUCUUUUAGGGAAUUCAGGCUUAAACAUCAGCUUUCAGGGAAUUAAGGCUUGAAUCCUUUAAAAAGUGGAAGCUGAGCACCAUCACAAUUCCCUUUUGAACCACAAAGUCCAUAUCUAUCAAAGUAGUCUCUUGAAGCAAAUGACAGAAGCAUCCAAGCUUGCUUUCUGCAUUUCAUGUGUAGUCCUGUGAUCAAUGAUUUCUAUUUGAGACACUUUGGAUGGUUGACAUAUCAAAUAGAAAUGCCAGGUGGGUAGAUCAUGCGUUGUUUUUAUAAGAUGAUGUGAUUGACUGACUUUUGAUGAAUGAAGCAUACACAAAGUGCAGCAGAAAACAAAUUAUAAACAUUGAGCUUCCAGAUAAUUUGUAUUUCUCAAUAAUAUGAAGCUUAUUCCUCUAAUCAUUCUCUUCAUUGGACGAACAUAACUUCAAUGACUUACUUGUAUUAAAUGAUUUCCAAUUCAUAAACCAUUUGAGACUUUUUUUUCUCACAUCUGAUAGGUUGCAGGAUAGUCCCAAGAAUUGAUCACCAAGUUCAACAGGGUGCCUUCCUUCCUCCCAUAAUCUCCGAGCCUGCAGCAAAUUGAAAACCUUUUAGUCAUUUUAUUAUAUCUUUCAACAUUUUAAUUCAUAAUAAUCGAAGUAUUUUAUUCAAGCGUUAGAGUUUUAUUUAUAGUAGUAAUUAAUUAUUAUUAUUAUUUUUGUAGAUAGAGUGUGUUUUUUUUUCUUUCAAAAUUUGAAAAAAAUUAAAACCAAGUUUGAAAAAUGUGAGUGAAAAUGAAAAUAAAGGAAAGAGAUGGGCAGGUGUAAUAGGAGGGGAUGUAGGAGGUGUUAGAUGGCAAUUGGUGGAGAAAUGCAGAUUGAAGGGUGUUGAGUUUUAGAUUUUGGUAUUAUUCAUAAAACUAAAGACUUGGUUUUGUUUUGAUAUUAAAAAAAAGUAAUUAUUUAGCAAAUGAGAAAUUAAGAGAUAAAAACUCACAAUUAAUGUUUGUGGUUCUUAACAAGAAGCAAGAGCCUUAUAGCCACAUUUAAUCAAACACCUCUUCUCCAUCUCACUCUACCAAUCAAAAUAUCGAAGAAAGGGAGAAAGGACAUUCUUAGUGUGCUAUCCAACAACCCACAUCUGAUGUGAAUGCGAUUGUUAAGACCUAUAUAACAAUUCAAGUUCACCAUUACUAGCAACUUGAGCUUAAACUUUUGAGGGCUACGUGGUUUAGGCCCAAAAAGUUACUAGGCCAAUGGUUGGACUUGGGUCGUUACAAAUGGUAUCAGAACUUGCACCAGUCCGAUGUGAACUUUCACAUUGCUCUGGUGAGAUCUUGGUCCCGUGGAUGUGAUGUGUGGCCUUGAUGAGGACAUCAAGGAUUUGAGUGGGUGGGAUUGUGAUAUCCAACAUCCUACAUCUGAUGUGAAUGUGAUUGUUAAGACCUAUAUAACAAUCCAAGUCCACCAUGGACUUGGGUCGUUACACUUAGCAUCAAGUUGAUCCCAUUCCACUGAUUCCCACCAUUCUCUCGGGCCUAUUCUAAUAUAUUCUAGAGAAGGAGGAGAUGGUUUCCCAUUUUCAACAAGGGGAAGAGACAAAGGGAUCCUCUUUACUUCUGGACAUCUCUCUAUUUGAAGAUAUUGGAGAGAAUCUGCAGGAAUCAUAAGUCCACCACUGUAAAUGCUUUUCAGUUUUGGUAAAUUUCCCAAGAUUAAUGAUUUUAAUUUGGGAAGAAUAAAUGUUGUUCCUUCUUCUUUGUGAUUUUCUUCUAACGCUAUUAUUUCCUCCAUUUCUUCACAACAUUCAACGAAAAUUUUCUCUAAGUUUGGGAGGCCUUGCAACUGCUCAACUGGAAACAACUUCUUCAUCUUCGAACAAAAGCUCAUCAUCAAUAAUUUAAGAGAAGAGAAGAAGGUAGGUGGUGUUGGAGCAUGAGAGGUAGAUUCAAUUUCAACCGCUACUCCUACUCGUACUCUCACAACUUCACACAAGUUUAGCAAGUCAAGUAGUUGUAGCACCUCAAUGUUGUGAAGUGCGUUGCAAGACGGUAAUGACAAGUCAACCACACACUCCAUCCCUUCACACUCCGAAAUUUGACAUUUCUUCAAGUCAGGUGCCUUACGAAACAAAGGAAUGUGGCUUAAACAUUUGAAAUCAUUACACCUCGCAAAACAAAAAGUAUGAAGGUCAUUUGGGAGCAUUAUUUCAUCACACCUCUCUAUCUCCAAAUUUGAGACAUCAACCAUUUUCUCAAUUUCUUUGAAAUAUGGGGAAUGCAUAAUAUGAAUAUUACUAGGUGGUCCCACUUGAAAAAUGAAAGACAUAGGCCAUUUACCUUGUGUAGACUCUGCAUAUUUCUUAAACUCUUGCAUGUCACAAAUGAACAUAAAACACACUCAAGCUUCCUCAAUUUGCCUACUUCUUCCCCCCUUAAAUUUAACUGUACUAGUAAGCAUUGCAGAUGAGAAAUCUUCAGCAAUAUUCCCAUUGGUAGCUCCUUUAGAUCGCUUGACCGUAGACCAAAAUAUCUAAGGUUUUGUAACAUUUCUAUACCCUGAGGUAACUCUUCAAUUUUUGUAUUCCAAAGGUCCAAGUUUCUCAGUGCUUUGAGCUUUGCUAAUGAAGGCACAUAUUCUAACCUGAGACAAUAAGCAAGCAUCAAUGCAUUGAGAUUUUUCAAGUUAGAGAUGGAAUUAGGUAAAUCCACAAUCUCAUGAUUACGAGAAAGAUCUAGAACUUUUAGCCCAGGCAUGUGCUUAAAGAAAGAUUCUGGAAUUCUUUUUAAGCCACAUUGUUGCAAUAUCAAAGUUGACAAAUGAGGACAUUCGGGUGAUAUGUGAGGAGGGAUUUCUAUUAAUUUUGAAUUUUGCAUCAAAGAAACCUUUUCAACACUCACUGUCCAUUCUUGCUCACUUGGUAGUUCCUCCAACUGCACAUUGGCUUUUACUAUGAACUGAUGACCUUUAAUAUACAAUGCCAGGUCUCUCAAAACAUUAUGCAUCUUAACUCCUUUGUCAUUCCAAGUUGUAGCCCUUUCUAGCAAGCAAUUAUUUUGAAGCUUAUUUAAAAUGCUAUGGCCUCUAUCAUGCACUUCUUGUCUAGUCCUUAAGCCAUCAAGGAGUCCUUCAUCUAUCCAAUUUUCAAUUAAGUCAACUUCUUCAAUCACAAAAUCUUCAGGAUAUAAGGAGCAAUAUGAGAAACAAUUUUGAAUUUUUGGAUCUUUCAAAUAGUCAUAACUGAACUUCAAACGCUCAAAUAUUUCAACAUCUGAUCCUUUCACACUUUUCACACGCUCUUCUAAUUCAGUUAAUGCAUUUCUCCACUCACAAAUAUCAUUUACCCCCUUCAUGCUUCCAGCUAUUGUGACAAUGUUAAGUGGUAAACUGCCACAUUACUCAACAAUUUUGUUGACAAUGUCUUUUAAAUUUUGAUCUUGUACAACACUAUGCCCCACAUGUUUUAAGAAUAAGUUCGUGGACUCUGUCUUUGAAAGCGGUUGCACUUUGAUCACCUUACAAUCCAUAGAUUGAUAGACCUUAAUCGAUCUGCUAGUGAGUACAACUUUCCUCCCCAUAUCUAUUAUUGGUUCAGGGAUACCCACAUCCAAUAGAGAAAACCGUUUCCAAACAUCGUCUAAGAUCAAAACAUAUCUCUUUCCCUCCAAAAUAUCUUUUAAUGCUGAUGCUCGUUGCAAUUCAUCAUCUUUUAAAAGAGAUUGUUUCAAAGAAUCUGCAAUAUCUUUUUGCAAUCUAAAAAUAUUCAAUUCUUUUGAUACAGUGACCUAUAUCACUUUAUCAAAGUUCUCACUUUCCUUUAACAAUCGAUUGUUGAUAUGCUUCAUGAUGGUAGUUUUCCCUAUACCACCCAUUCCACAUACUCCAAUCAUUCCAACCUUAUUACCCAUCAAAUACUCCCAAAUUUGUUCUUUUACAUCGAUUUCACCUUCUAGAUUUAGUGUUGGUAACAUCACCCCGGUGGUUGGAGGCCCAUCAACUGCCACACCGUCGGGGAAACUACCUUUUUGGUGAAUUUCCUCUACCUUUUCAAUCAUUCGGCAAACAAAUUUUCCAAGACGACCACGUAAGAAGCAUGAAAUAGCAUGGAACUUGGAUUCAAUCUUUUCCAUUUCAGUGUUUACCUUUUCUACAGCUUCAAACAAGUACUCCACUUCUUCCCUCACCACUUUUCUGUGACGAAGCUCCUCUUCCUUUCUUGAUAUGAGGUCUCUUUUUUGGAUAUUUAAAACAUUCACUUUUUCUCGAAGAUCAUUCAUAUGUUCUUCAAGUUUUCGUUGAUGGUGUAUAUAUGUACAGGUUGGACCACCAAAGCACUUUAUCACUUCAAAAAUUGGCCCUAUAAGCUCCAUAUAAGCUAUUCCCUAGAGAUUAAAAACCAAGAUAUAUUAGAUCUCCAUAUGACAUAAGCUACUCCGUCCCUCCCUAAACUACAAUUCUAUAUUUUUCAUAUAAUAUAGAAUAUGUUAGAAAAAAAUGUUACUAAUUAAAAUUUUUUUACCAAUUCUUAAGAAAAAACAUAAUAUUUUUGAAAACAUUAUUAAAAACAAGAAGUUUUUGUUUCAUCAUCUUUGAGUAUAAUAUUUACAUUUCCAACAAUAUUUAUAUCUAGAUGAAUGUAUUCAUUUUUCCCCUUAAAAAACCAUCGCAAAUUCUUGAAUAUAUUAUAUCUAUAUGGUUCCUAGUUUUGAUCAUUACAACAUUAAUAAAAGGAUGAUGAGAAUGGAGAAAUCAAUUUACUAUAAAUAUAUAAAUGACAAAAUUUUUUAUAAAAAAAGGAAUCCAUUUAAAGUUGAUAACUUGCGUUUCUAACAUGUAUACAUAUUAAAUAAAUGUACCUGUGAAAGAAUCACAGGUACUAGACGAAAAGUAUCCAGUUCUUUAAUAUAUUUAUUUAAAUUGUAUUAUUCUGUAUGACAGAUUCUCCUUUCAAGUAUUCUGUUAUAAACUUUUGAAAUUAAUCUGAAUUUAUAAUUUACAAAGAGAAAAUUAUGUACCCUAGUCUUGAAAUCUUUCCUUGUUGCCGAUAUAGAAAGAUUUGACAAUGUACAUAAUGACAUGAAGUGCCCUGUUUUUUGAUGGAGCUUUAGCAUCAAACUUCAAUUAGCUGAGUUAACCAGAUUGUUAGUUCCUUGAUUGAUUUUCCAAUUAACGAGCCAUAUCAGAAUAUUAGACUUGAGAAAUGGAAUUUUGACUUCUAAGGUCCUAAAAAAGAUUAAUUCACAAAAUACAUAAAAAUAAAAUGUACAAGAUGACGAUGAAAAUCAUUUGUGUAAAGAUAUUGAUGCUGUAUGACAUAUAAUUUUGCUUUUGGUCAAAUAUUGAAAUAUCGUAAGGAACAACGCGUUGAGCUUCCAACAAUGUGUCAGUCAUUUCAUUGGUUGAAGAAGACUUUAAAUGUUUUAACCCCAAAUUACUAUUCAUAACACGUUUUCAUUAAAUAUAUCAGAGAUCAGCUUUUUUCGUUUUGUCCCAAUUUUCUUGGUUUUCACUUUUCAGUGAAUUAAAGACCUAAAAAAUCUUUGUCAUCAAUGGAUAACAUCAUUGGUGAUUACAUUCGAGCCUUCUAUUAAGUUUAUGUAGCAAAUACAAAUAAGUAAUGGCUUAUCAUGCAUUUUUAGUUUUGUUAUGAUGUGAGGAUUAUAUGAGUCUUCCUCAAUGAAACAUCUGAAAAAGUGCAUGAGAAAAAAAUCAAAACAAUUUACAACUGAUGAGAUUGCACAUUACUCUUUUUUCUGAUUUAUAUGAAGCUUCAGUGCAAUCAUCUUGUCAAUUCUUUGUGAGACAACUAUAGAUAACAGUACCCCCAAAAAGGCACUUGCAGGGUGCUAAGCUUAAACUGGGACUGAACCGUUGGUAUCAAUGCAUAAGGUACAAAACAUACUGAUCAUCCACAGCAUCUAAUAAUGGCUUGGAGAUGAAAGAGUUAAGUAUAUAAUAAUCUGAAAAUUAUAUUUGUUAAUUUUUGUUAAUUGUUAAGUUUAUUUAAAAAUUGAGAUUAUUAUCAUUAUUAAAUUAUUUAUAAUUAUGCUAGUUAAUUCUUUUAAGUAAAUUAUUAAAAAUGAUUCCUUUGAAUAAUUUUCAGAAUUUAUUUAUAUAAUUUUCAUAUAAAUUUUUUCCAUUAAGUUGUUUUAUAUUUUUAGCAAACGUUGGACUUCUCGUUUGAAUGUUUUAUAGACAUUAUCUUCAACUCUUCGCCUCCUCAAACGCCAAAAUACAAACUCAGCCACUGCAUAUAACCACUGCAGAACAUUAUCAAAAGCAAUAAAUAUGUGAGGAUUUGUAGACAUUAUGAAAAUAAAGUGACAUUUACUAAGUACCAACCACUCUUUUUCCCAUCAGUUUGGUCUCCUCCAAAAGUUCUAGCCAGUCCAAAACCUGAAAUUUUUGGAUUCAUAUCACUACCAAUCACAACGUUACUAGCUUUGAGAUCUCUAUAAAUAAAAAAAAACUUUCGAUUUGCUAGCUUUACUAUUAACAAAGUAAUUUUUUUUUUGUUUAUUUAGCAAAGGAACGAAAUAAGCAUAAUUAUGAAGGAUAUAUCAAAGUUACCAUUCAACUUUGCACGACCUCUGUAAAGGAAAUGACUGACGCUAAACGGCCCGAAAAGCACAACACAGUGGUGUUGCAAUUAAUGCAGGAAGUUUUAUCCUAGGCUUAUCUUUCAAUUUUGUAUGAUGAAAUUCGAUAAAGAAAAGCAUACAUGAAGAAACACAAAAAAAGCUGCGAAAUCAAGAAAAAAUGUAGACUCAUACCUGAUUCUGAAGCAGACACUUUAACAUAUAGAUCCUGCCCUUUUGAUUGAAAUUGUUUGUAAUCAAUCAAAUGAUGAAACCAAAGGUCCCAACCACUGCCUCUUCCUCUAUUAUCUGAACUAGUGUAUGCCAUAUAGGAAUAGUUCUGUAGAUACUUAACCCUGCAUCCCUUGAGAUUCAUAGUUUUAGUCACCCAAGAAUGUGUAGCAUCUGGCAUUUUCAAAUUUCUUAAAUCUGAUAAAUCCAUCUCUGCUUUGGCAGUUGAAUGGCUUAUUGUGCUUACACCCUUGGGACCAGUCUUAUGAGUUCUAUCCUUCAGGGAAUUCAGGCUUAAACAUCAUCUUUCAGGGAAUUAAAGCUUGAAUCCUUUAAAAAGUGGAAGCUGAGUACCAUCACAAUUCCCUUUUGAACCACAAAGUCCAUAUCUGUCAAAGUAGUCUCUCGGAGCAAAUGAGGAAAGCAUCCAAGCUUGCUUUCUGCAUUUCAUGUGUAGUUAUGUUAUCAAUUAUUUCCAUUUGAGACACUAUGGAUGGUUGACACAUAAAAUAGAAAGACCAGGCUGGUCGAUCAUCCGUUGCUUUUAUAAGAUGAUGUGGUUGACUGACUUUUGAUGAAUGAAGUAUACACAAAGUGCAGCAGAAAACAAAUUAUAAACGUUGAGGUUCCAGAUAAUUCGUAUUUCUCAAUAAUAUGAAGCUUAUUCGUCUAAGCAUAAUAUAUAUAUUUAGAGUAACCACACUAAUCAUAUCAACUUAAACUUACUCAUAAUUUGCAUGCAACAUAAAAUCACCAAAUCUUAUAUAGAUAAUUUAAACUAUUAAUCUUGUUUAAUUAUAUAUGUAUUCAUCAUUUGAAGUGCUUUAAAAUAUUAAUCAUGAUUAAUUUCAAUAUCUUGGUAUUGAUACAUCACUUCCCAAAUAUGCUUUCCUUUUUUCUUUUUUUCCAUAUAUAGACACUCUUUAAUUAGGAGAUUGUAGCCAGCUAGAUACCAUUGUUGCCAGUCCAAGAGGUGACACUUUGGAGGUUGAAUAGCAUUUUAUUUUCGGGUUUUUUAGUCUUGAGAUGAGUGGCAACAUUAAUUCCUUUGGAUCUGUUGAAUUAGCUUUUGUAUAUAAAAGAAGGUAUCCCUCCUCAAACAUGGCAGAUCCCCUUUCAAACCCAUUAUUUUAAAGAAAAGAAAAUGCUAAUUUAAUAGAAUAGUUGCCAACUAGGGACAAGCUCCAUUGAUGUGACAUUAAUUUUGGUAUAUUCUAACACUUGUUGACUAGAUUCAAUUGGACAGGAUUUUUAAUUUGGAUGAAAUUUAAGGGUAGUGAUUAAACAAUGGAAGUGACAUUGGAGGUUCUAAGUCCCUUUCACCUAAGGGAGAAAUGAGUUUGUUCAAUUGACACAGCUUUGGUACAUACAGAAAGUAAGCUAAUACCAUAGCCAUAUUUCUCAGGUGACUUGCAACAAAUUUGAGACUGAAGUAUGGCAAAAUAUUGGGUAUUUGUAUAAAUUACAAUACAAAUAAAGAAAAAAAAUGAAAGAGACUAAAUAGAAAGGGGAAGUGGAAAGGUCCCCAAAAUCAAUUAAUUGCAAGUGGAAGGAGCAAAGCCCAACUUUGUUGGCAACAAGGUCAUGUUCCCGCAGAUGAUUUUGUUGCAGGGUGUUGUAAAUGAUAUUUACUUCCAGGCUCUGUCUUUUGGCAAAUAGAAGCUGAUAAUGGUUCUCUGGAUCAAGCUCAAAUAUAGCUCCAUCUUCAAUAUGAAUUGCAAAUCCUGGCACUGAUGAGAAAAUCAAGCCUUGUUAUUGCUUUUAAUAAAAGCAAAUAAAAUUUGAAGGGUGUUCAGUUGGGCAAUUACUAGUUCCCAAGUAACAGUUUUAACUGCUACUUUCUUUUACCAAAUUCCCAAGAAACUAUUCUUAGAGCUUCUAGGACUAAGGAACAGACUGGGAGGAGGUGAAGAUAUCGAUUCCAUCAGUAAAACAGUGUUGGUGAACAUGAAAGACAGAAUGUCUUUUUGUUUCAAAUUUCAGAGCUUGUAAGAACUCAUAGAAAAACUUUUCAGUUUGGCAGAUUUUAGAGAGCAAACAUGUUUAAACUGAUGAUCGUUGACUAGUAUGCAAGUCUUCCUUGAAAAGACCAAACUUUUCAGUUUGCGGAGAACUCUUAUUUCUAAUUUUUAUGAUGCUUCAGUGUAGUCAUCUUGUAUUGUCUCUGCGAAUCAUAUAUAUAUACAUAUGACCCCCAAGCAGGCACUUGCAGGGCAUUAAGCUCAAACUGGGACUAAACCACUGGUAUCAAAGCAUAAGAGACAUAAACAUACUGGUCGAUAACUUUUAAUAAUGGCUUGGAGAUGAAAGAGCUAAGUAUACAGUUUGUCAAUUAUCGAGCAUCUAGUACUGACAGAGUUAUUUCAUUUGUGGAAGAAGAUACAUGCUUGUCUGAUGAAGAAUCUUCUUCAAGUGGAUUUUUUUAAAACAAAAUACCAGCUUGUUUGGGGUGUGGCAAUUCAGUUUCACUUCCCAACAUCAGAAUCACAAAUGACGUACUUGGCCUCUCCUCAGGAUGCUGUUGUAAACUUAAAAGACUGAUAAUGGAAGUAUUGUAUCACUUCUGAUAGAUUGCAAAGACUCUCCUAAGCAUUCUUCAACAGGUUUUAAAGGACUGUCUUAUUUCCAUAAUCUCCAUGCCUGCAGCAAAUUGAAACCCUUUUAGGUUUUAUCAAUCCAAGAUAAGCAACAAAAAAUUGAUUAUAAAAAUAUCUGCUGAAACUGACAUGUUCAACAAGGUUGCCGCUCUGUGAUGGAUGGUAAAGCCCUCUAUAUUUUCUUCCCACUUAUUAUCUCCAGCAAUAAUAUACCAAAGCUAAAGAGAUCUGAUUUUACUGAAAGCAGUCCAACAAUAGCAUAUUCAGUGCCAUAUAACCUCUGCAGAACAUUAUCAAGAGAAAUAACUAUCUGAGCAUAUGUAGACAUUAUGAAAAUAAAGUGACACUUACUAAGUUCCAACCACUCUUGCAGUGUUCCCUUCAGUUUGGUUUCCUCCAAAGUUCUAAGCAAUCCAAAAUCUGAAAUUUUUGGAUUCAUCUCACUAUCAAGCAGAACGUUACUAGCUUUGACAUCUCUAUGAAUGAAAAAAAACAUAUUCAAAUGAAAUGGCAAAGAAUCUAAUUAACUCUUUUGAAGAAACUGUGUUUGGAUUUGUUAGCAAAGGAACAGAAUAAGCAUAUUUGUGAAGGAUAUAUCAAAGUUACCAUUCAACUUUGCACGACCUCUGUGAAGGAAAUGACUGACAGUAAACAGCCCGAAAAGCACAACACAGUGGCGUUGCAAUUAAUGCAGGAAGUUUUAUCCUAGGCUUAUCUUUCAAUUCUGUAUGAUGAACUUUGAUAAAGAAAAGCAUACAUGAACAAAAACAAAAAAAGCAGCGAAAACAAGAGAAAAUGUAGACUCAUACCUGAUUCUGAAGCAGACAUUAUUAACAUAUAAGUCCUGCUCUUUUGAUUGAAAUUGUCUAUAAUCAAUCAGAUGAUGAAACCAAAGGGCCCAAACACUACCUCUUCCUCUGUUAUCUGAACUAGUGUAUGCCAUAAGGGAAUAGUUCUGUAGAUACUUAGCCUUGCAUCCCUUGAGUUUCAUAGCUUUAGUCACCUAAGAAAGUGUAGCAUCUGGCAUUUUCAAAUCUUUUAAAUCUGAUAAAUCCAUAUCUGCUUUGGCAGUUGAAUGGCUUAUUCUGUGCUUACACCCUUGGGGUCAGUCUGAUGAGUUCUAUCUUUCAGGGAAUUCAGGCUUAAACAUCAGCUUUCAGGGAAUCAAGGCUUGAAUCCUUUAAAAAGUGGAAGCUGAGUACCAUCACGAUGCCCUUUUGAACCACAAAGUCCAUAUCUGUCAAAAUAGUCUCUUGGAGCAAAUGAGAAAAGCAUCCAAGCUUACUUUCUGCAUUUCAUGUGUAGUCCUGUGAUCAAUGAUUUCUAUUUGAGACACUUAGGAUGGUUGACAUAUAAAAUACAAAUACCAGGUGGGUAGAUCAUGCGUUGUUUUUAUAAGAUGAUGUGAUUGACUGACUUUUGAUAAAUGAAGUAUACAGAAAGUGCAGCAGAAAACAAAUUAUAAACAUUGAGGUUCCAGAUAAUUUAUAUUAUUUAAUGAUUUGAAGCUUAUUCCUCUAAUCAUUCUCUUCACUGGACAAACAUAACUUCAAUGACUUACUUGCAUUAAAUGAUUUCCAAUUCAUGAACCAUUUGAGACCAGUGUGGAUGUGUUGUCUCACAUCUGAUAGGUUGCAGGAUAGUCCUAAGAAUUGAUCACCAAGUUCAACAGGGGUGCCUUCGUUCCUCCCAUUAUCUCCAAGCCUGCAGCAAAUUGAAAACCUUUUAGUCAUUUUGUUAUAUCUUUCAACAUUUUAAUUCAUAAUAAUCAAAGAAUUUUUGAAACAUGCGAGUGAAAAUGAAAAUAAAGGAAACGGGUGGGAAGGUGUAAUAGGAGGGGAUGUAGGAAAUGUCACAUAGCAAUUGGCGGAGAAAUGCAGAUUGAAGGGUGUUGAGUUGGAGAUUUAUUUUUAUAUUAAAAAAUAAAAAAUUAAAGACUUGGUUUUAUUUUGAUAUUAAAAAAGAGUAAUUAUUUAGCAAAUGAGAAAUUCGGAGAUAAAAAUAAACUCACAAUGUUUGUUUGCAGUUUUUAAUAAGAAGCAAGAGCCUUGCAACCACAUUUAAUCAAACACCUCUUCUACAAUUCAGACAUAAAGCUAGCCUUGUACCAUCCAAAAAAUAUUCAACAAAGGGAGAAAGGACAUCCUUAGCAUCAGGCUGAUCCCAUUCCACUGAUUCCCACCAUUCUCUCGGCCAUACUGUGAUUCCUUUUAGAGAAGGAGGAGGAGAUGGUUUCCCAUUUUCAACAAGGGGAAGAGACAAAGGGAUCCUCUUUACCGCUCUACACCCCGAUAUGACAAGAUGUUGGAGAGAAUCUGCAGGAAUCAUAAGUCCACCGCUACAAAUGCUUUUCAAUUUUGGUAAGUUAAUCAAGAAUAAUGAUUUUAAUUUGGGAAGAAUAAAUGUUGUUCCUUCUUCUUUCUGAUUUUCUUCUGAUGCUAUUAUUUCCUCCAUUUCUUCACAACCUCGGACAUAAAUUUCCUCUAAGUUUUGGAGGCUCUUCAACGGCUCGAUUGUAAGCAACUUCUUCACCCUCGAACAACCAAUCACAUAUAAUUGUUUAAGAGAAGAGAAGGCAGGUGGUGUUGGAGCAUGAGAGGUAGAUUCAAAUUCAACCGCUACUCCUACUUCUACUCCUACUCUCACAACUUCACGCAAGUUGCGUAAGAAACAUAGUUGUAACACCUCAAUGUUGUGAAGUGCGUCGCAAGACGAUAAUGACAAGUCAACCACACACUCUAUCCCAGAACACUUCCUAAUUUGACAUAACUUCAAGUCAGGUGCCUUAUGAAACAAAGGAAUAUUGCUUAAACAUUUGAAAUCAUUACACUCCUCAAUAAGUAAAGGGUGAAGGUCAUUUGGGAGCACUAUAUCAUCACACCUCUCUAUCUCCAAAUUUCUAAAUUCAACCUUUUUCUUAAUUUCUUUGAAAUCUGGGAAUCCCCGAUAUAAAUACCCUUAAGUGGUCCCACUUGAAAAAAGAAAGAUGGAGGCCAUUUACCUUGUGCAGACUUUACAUAUUUCUUAAACUCUUGCAUGUUGCGAAAUGAACAUGAAACCCACUCAAGGUUCCUCAAUUUGCCCACUUCUUCCCCUCUUAAAUGUAACUCUCCCAGCAAGCAUUGCAGAUGAGAAAUCUUCACUAAUAUUCCUAUUGGUAGCUCCUUUAGAUGCCUUGACCUUAGACGAAAAUAUCUAAGGUUUUGUAACAUUUCUAUACCAUGAGGAAGCUCUUCAAUUCCUGUACCAUAAAGGUCCAACUUUCUCAGUGCUCUGAGCUCUGCUAAUGAAGGCACAUAUUUUAACCUGCCACAACUAGCAAGUAUCAAUGCAUCGAGGUUUUUCAAGUUAGAGAUGGAAUUGGGUAGAUCCUCCAAGUAAUAAUUACUAUAAAGAUUUAGAACUUUUAGUCUAGGCAUGUGCUUAAAGAAAGAUUCAGGAAUACUUUUUAAGCCACAUUGUUGCAAAAUCAAAGUUGACAAAUGAGGACACUCAGGUGAUAUGUGAGGAGGGAUUUCUAUUAAUUUUGAAUUUUGCAUCAAAGAAACCUUCUCAACACUCACUGUCCAUUCUUGCUCACUUGGGAAUUCUUUCAAUUGCAUACCUGCUUUUACCAUGAACUGAUGACCUUUAAUAUACAACGCCAUGUCCCUCAAAACAUCAUGCAUCUUAACUCCUUCUUUGCGACUCCUAGUUGUAGCCCUCUCUAGCAAGCAAUUAUUUUCAAGCUUAUUUAAAAUGCUAUGGCCUCUGUCAUGCAUUUCUUGUCUAGUCCUUAAGCCAUCAAGGAGUCCUUCAUCUAUCCAAUUUUCAAUUAAUUCAACUUCUCCAAUCACAAAAUCUUCAGAAUACAAGGAGCAAUAUAAGAAACAAUUUUGAAUUUUUGGAUCUUUCAAAUAGUCAUAACUGAACUUCAAACGCUCAAAUAUUUCAACAUCCGAUCCUUUCACACUUUUCACACGCUCUUUUAAUUCCAUUAAUGCAUUUCUCCACUCACAAAUAUCAUUUACCCCCUUCAUGCUUCCAGCUAUUGUGACAAUGCUAAGUGGUAAACCACCACAUUGCUCAACAAUUUUGUUGACAAUGUCUUUUAAAUUUUGAUCUUGUACAACACCAUGCCCCACACGAUCUAAGAAUAAGUUCAUGGACUCUGUCUUUGAAAGCGGUUGCACUUUGACCACCUUACAAUCCAUAGAUUGGCAGACCUCAAUCAAUCUACUAGUGAGUACAACUUUCCUCCCCAUACCUAUUGUUGGUUCAGGGAUACCCACAUCCAAUAGAGAAAACCGUUUCCAAACAUCGUCUAAGAUCAACACAUAUCUUUUUCCCUCCAAAAUAUCUUUUAAUGUUGAUGCUCUUUGCAGUUCAUCAUAUUUUGGAAGAGACUCUUUCAAAGAAUCUGCAAUAUCUUUUUGCAAUCUAAAAAUAUUCAAUUCUUUUGAUACAGUGAUCCAUAUCACUUGAUCAAACUUCUCACUUUCCUUUAACAAUCGAUUGUUGAUAUGCUUCAUGAUAGUAGUUUUCCCUAUACCACCCAUUCCACAUACUCCAAUCAUUCCAACCUUAUUACCCAUCAAAUACUCCCAAAUUUGUUCUUUUACAUCGAUUUCACCUUCUAGAUUUGGUGUUGGUAACAUCACCCCGGUGGUUGGAGGCCCAUCAACUGCCACAUUGUUAGGGAAACUACCGUUUUGGUGAAUUUCCUUUACCUCUUCAAUCAUUCGGCAAACAAAUUUUCCAAGACGACCACGUAAGAAGUAUGAAACAACAUGGAACUUGGUUUCAAUCUCUUCCAUUUCAGUGUUAACCUUUUCUACAGCUUUAAACCAGUACUCCACUUCUUCCCUCACCACUUUUCUGUGACGAAGCUCCUCUUCCUUUCUUGAUAUGAGGUCUCUCUUUCGGAUGUUUAAAACAUUCACUUUUUCUCGAAGAUCAUUCAUAUGUUCUUCAAGUUUUCGGUGAUGGUCAAUGUAUGUACAGGUUGGACCACCAAAGCACUUUAUCACUUCAAAAAUUUGCCCUAUAAGCUCCAUAUAAGCUAUUCCCUAGAGAUUAAACCAAGAUAUAUUAGAUCUCCAUAUGACAUAAGCUACUCCCUCCCUAAACUACAAUUCUAUAUUUUUCAUAUAAUACAGAAUAUGUUAGAAAAAAAUCUUACUAAUUAAAAUUUUUUUACCAAUUCUUCUUAAGAAAAAACAUAAUAUUUUUGAAAACAUUAUAAAAAACAAGAAGUUUUUGUUUCCGUCACUUAAUUACUAUAAUUAUUUUCCACCUAAUUAAGAGAAAAGAAGCAUGACAUAGACCAAUGAACAAAAAUAAUUAUGUGAAAGGAAAGAUGAUGAACCUAUGUUAUGAAUCUAAAACAUGAAUCCAAAUCAAUAUUAAACAAUUUAAUUUAUCUAGUCAAGUGAGGCAGAUGAGCUGGUACUUCUUCUAUUCUUAGAGUUUCUUGAUUAAGUUUGUAAAAGCAGAUCUCCUUGCAAAAAAUUGUCAAGAAAAUAGCAUCAAGCAGAUCUCCUUCCAAAAUAUCCUCUAUGAGAAGAAAAUGAGUAAUGAAGCACAUGAAUUAUUGAAAAGUGGGCAAGAUUAAUAUUUAUGUAAGAAACUAAAAUAAAUGCCCAAUUUGUGUCUUAAUAUUUAUAUAAAACUUAUGAUAAGAUGAAUUUGUGUUAUAAUUUAAGAUUUCGAUUAAUUAAUGUUAUCAAAGAUAAAACUAAAUCAUAAGUAUAGACAACCUACUUAAUUCCGUGAGGCAGGGAAGUGAUACUUCUAUCUUCAGAAGGCCCUUAAUAAAUUUGAGAAACAAGCCCAAUCAAGAAAAAUAGCAAUAACAAAUAGAUUAUCUCCUUGCGAAAAAGAAAAUCCUGAUCCUCCGAGAGAAGAGAAUUAUUGAAUUAUGAAGCAGAAAAGAAUUAAAGUCGGCAACUCAAUGCAAAGUUGAAUUAUUUUCAACCUAAUUAGGCAAAAAAGGAAAAAGAAUAGAAGCAUAAAAUAAAGAGAAAGACCCAAAAGAAAGUUUUAUGGAGUUUGUUGAAAGAUGAAUUUAUGGCAGAAGGUAAGAUUCAGAGAUGGUACCAAAGAUGAAAAAUAUAAGCGUAGAUACUUCAGCUUGUUGAUAUCACUAAGCAGAUCUCCUUGCAAAUUCCUGUGUAAUGAGAAGAGAAGGAAUUAUGAAGCAAAUAAGUCAAUGCAAGUCAUGACAUUGGUUUCGGGGUCACUUCCCUUAAAGCUGCUUUGAAAUAAAGAAAAUAUAAAUAAAAUAAAAGAUGAUGAAGUGAGCCUGAACACUCGUUCAUUUUUCUUAAAGAAACAAUAAUCUAAGUUAGGACAAAAAGGAAGCAUCCGAGAAGGAUCCUGCGUAAAUUUUUACCAUUAAAUUACUUUGUGAAAAGACAAAGUUAGGUGCGAAUUGAGCACAAGGAAAGAUGAAGCAAUUAAAAAUUCAUCCAUUGUGUUAGUGGCGAAAUAAAAUAAUGAAAAGUUAGAGAAAUAGGGAGUCAUGAUUAGUGACUUGUGGGGUAGUAAUUGGAUUCCCCUUCUAGGUGUUUUGUGUUAUGCCAUAAACUUAUUACAUUAAUCUGAAUUUAUAAUUUAUAAAGAGAAUUAUUUCAACCUGAAAACUGAAAAAUAAGUAUCCCAAUCUGCAAUAGAAUGAUUUGACUAUGCACAGAAUGUGCAUAAGCUAUGAUCUACUGAAUGUAGUCCAUUUUAUAAGGGGACAAGAAACGAAUUGCCCUGUUCUUUGAUGGAGCUUCAGCAUCAUGCUUCAACCAGAAGUUUUCUACUGAGUUAACCGGAUUGUUAGUUCCUUGAUUGAUUUUCUAGUUAAUGAGCCAUAUCAGAUUACUUAGACUUGAGAAAUAGAAUUUCAACUUCUAAGGUUCUAAAUGUGACUAGUUCACAAAAUAUAUAGAAAUAUAAGGUACAAGAAGAUGAUGAUGAAGAUCAUUAAGUAAAGAUAUUGAUGAAGUGUGACGGUCAUUUCAUUGUUGAAGAUGAUUCAUGGCCGCCCCGUGGAACUGCUUCAAAAUAGUUCUUUUCAGAUAGUCCUAAAUAAUUGCUGCUGCACACACAACAGACAAAUGUGGAUGCAGCUUAUCACUUCUGAUAGAGCAGAGGACUCCCCUAAGAAUAUGGAUCAUCUGCUAGUUCAAAUUGUCUUGACUCUUUCCACAAUCUCCAUUCCUGAUACAUAUCAAAACCAUUUUGUCAUUUAUUAGUUUGAAAACUUAAUUAGUUAAAUGAUAAUACAUUGCACAACACUUACAUGUCCAACAAGGCUCAACAUUGGUUGAUAAAACCUUCUAUUCUUCUCUCCACAUAUUAUCUCCAGCAAUAGCCAAAUAUAGUACCCAUCAACAAGUGGGUUAAUUUAUCCUUACCCCAUCAACCUUAAGUUAAGCUUUUGUUUUGGUCUGAUAGUUUAGGUGCACAAUCGAUCAAGAAGUGGAAUUUUUUCUGUCAAUAGCAAAAAUUAAAAUCAGAAACUGUUUUUUGACCAAGAAAAGAAGCAAAUAAUUGAAAUUUUGUAGUUUUAAGAAGGAAGCAAGACGAUUACCAGACGAGAAGCUGUGUUCAGCCAAAUGAAAAGGCAAUAGCAUUUCCUUAGCAUUAGGAUCAUCCCAUUCCAGUGAUUCCCACCAUUCUUCUGGAUAUAAAACGAUUUGCUCAACAGGAGGAGUGGGAGGAGAUGGUAGUCCAUUUUCAAGCAGGGGAAGAGAUAAGGGGAUCCUUUUUAACUUCGGACAUUCUAUUACCUCAAGAUAUUGACGAGAGUUUGUUGGAAUCAUAAGUCCAAAAACCACAAAUGCUUUUCUGCUCUGGUAAUUUCAACAAGGAAAGUUUCCUUAAUUUGGGAAGAAUAAAUGUUAUGUGGUAAUUGCCCUUCCUGCCUCAAUUUCCUCCAACUUUUGAAAACCCUACAGCAGCUUAAUUGAACACAACUUCUUCAUACUCGAACAGUUUCUCAAGCAAAACCUUUUGAGAGAAGAGAAAAUGGGAGGUGGUGUUGGGAUGUGAGAUGGAGAUACACAUAGAUUCAUGGUUUUCAUGAAUAAGAUAAAAAUGUUAUGAUCACCAUUUAAACAUAAUAUAUAUAUUAUAUAUAAUAUAUAUAUAUAUUAGAGUAAUCACACUAAUCAUAUCAAAUUAAACUUAUACUCAUAAUUUGCGUGCAACAUCAAAUCACCAAAUCUUAUACAGAUAAUUUAAACUAUUAAUCUUGUUUAAUUAUAUAUGUAUUCAUCAUUUGAAGGGCUUUGUAAAUUUAUAAAGUAAACAACAAUAAGCAAUAAUUAUGUUUAUUUUCAAUAUCUUGGUAUUGAUACAUCACUUCCCAAAUAUGCUUUCCUUUUCUUUUUCAUACAUAGACAUUGUCUUGUUUGGAGAUUGUAGCUAGCUAGAUACCAUUAUUGCCAGUCCAAGAGGUGACACUUUGGAGAUUGAAUAGAAUUUAAUUUUCAGGUGUUUUGGUCUUGAGAUGAGUGUCAACAUUAAUUCCUUUGGAUCUCUUGAAUUAGCUUUUGUAAAUAAAAGAAGGUAUCCCUCCUCAAACAUGGAAAAUCCCCUUUCAAACCUAUAAUUUUAAAGAAAGAAAAUCCUAAUUUAAUAGAUUAGUUGCCAACUAGGGACAAGCUCCGUUGAUGUGACAUUAAUUUUGGUAUAUUCUAACACUUGUUGACUAGAUUCAAUUGGAUAGGAUUUUUAAUUUGGGUGAAAUUUACGGGUACUGAUUAAACAAUGGAAGUGACAUUGGAGGUUCUAAGUCCCUUUCACCUAAGAGAGAAAUGAGUUUGUUCAAUUGACACAGCUUUGGUACAAACAGAAAGUAAGCUAAUACCAUAUCCAUAUUUCUCAUGUGACUUGCAACAAAUUUAAGACUGAAGUAUGGCAAAAUAUUGGGUAUUUGUAUAAAUUACAAUACAGAUAAAGAAAAAAAAAAAAGAAAGAGACUAAAUAGAAAGGGGAAGUGGAAAGAUCCCCAAAAUCAAUUAGUUGCAAGUGGAAGGAGCAAAGCCCAACUUUGUUGGCAACAAGGUCAUGUUCCCACAGAUGAUUUUGUUGCAGAGUGUUGUCAAUAAUAUUUACUUCCAAGCUGUCUUUUGGUAAAUAGAAGCUGAUAAUGGUUAUCUGGAUCAAGCUCAAAUAUAGCUCCAUCUUCAAAAAUGAAUUGCAAAUCUUGACACUGAUGAGAAAAUCAAGCCUUUUUAUUGCUUUUAAUAAAAGCGUAUAAAAUUUGAAGGGUGCUCAGUUGGGGAAUUACUAGUUCCCAAGUAAUAGUUUUAACUGCUACUUUCUUGUACCAAAUUCCCAAGAAACGAUUCUUAGAGCUUCCAGGACAAAGAAACCAAGCUUAAGGAUUCCAUCCAUCACUAACAGACUGGGAGGAGGUGGAGAUAUCGAUUCCAUCAGCAAUACUUAAAAACAAUAUUAGCAAAAUGGUGUUGGUGAACAUGAAAGACAGAAUGUCUAUUUGUCUCAACUUUCAGAGCUUGUAAAACUUAUAGAAAAACUUUUCAGUUUGGCAGAUUUUAGAGAGCAAACAUAUUUAAACUGAUGGUCGUUGACUAGUAUGCAAGUCUUCCUUGAAAAGACCAAACUUUUCAGGUUGCACAGAAUUCUUAUUUCUGAUUUUUAUGAGGCUUCAGUGUAGUCAUCUUGUAUUGUCUCUGUGAAUUGUAUAUACAUAUUAUACCCCCAAGUGGGCACUUGCAGGGUGCUAAGCUCAAACUGGGACUAAACCACUGGUAUCAAAGCAUAAGGGACAUAAACAUACGGAUCGAUAGCCUAUAAUAAUGGCUUGGAGAUGAAAGAGCUUAAGUAUACAGUUUAUCAAUUAUCGAGCAUCUAGUACUGACAGAGUUAUUUCAUUUGUGGAAGAAGAUACAUGCUUGUCUGAUGAAGAAUCUUCUUCAAGUGGACUUUUCUUAGACAAAAUACCAGGUUGUUUGGGGUGUGGCAAUUCAGUUUCACUUCCCAACAUCAGAAUCACAAAUGACAUACGUGGCCUCUCCUCAGGGAUUUUGUCAUUUAUCAGUUAGAAAUGUUGAAAAUCUCAAGGAUUUUGUUAUAUUUGCAGACCAUUAUCUGUUAAAAUGAUAAAGAUAAAACGAGAGAGAAAAUAUAAUUGAACACAAAGUCUCCCUACAGUCUUUUCAUUCAACAAUAACACUUAUAAAUACAUUUACAGGAGAGAGAAGACAACAAUAAAAUAAAACAACACGUAAAGUAAAAUAACUGCACAAUAUCCAUAUCUUACAUAAUCACCUACUUUACAAUACAAACCCACUACCUAACAUAACAAUAACUGACUCAACAUGACAAUAAUUGUAAAAGAGAAAAUAAACUGAUAUUAACUAAUAAAUUAAAAAAUUGUUGAGAAUAACUGAAUCUGAUUCUUCAAGUCAAAUCUCAUUCUUCAACAAAACUUGAUUAGUUAAAUGAUAAUACAUUUCACAACACUUUUAUGUCCAACGAGGCUCAACACUUUUGUCUGGUUGAUAAAAGCUUCUAUUUUACCUUCCACAAAUUAUCUCCAGCAAUAAUAUACCAAAGCUAAAUACACUACCCAUCAAGAAGUGGGUUAAAUUAUCCUUAACCCAUCAACAUUAAGUUAAGCCUUUGUUUUGGUCUGAUAGUUUAGGUGCGCAAUCGAUCAAGAGGUAGAAUUUUUUCUGUCAAUAAUAAAAAUUAAAAUCAGAAACUAUUUUUUGACAAAAAACAGAAGCUAAUAAUUGAAAUUUUGUAGUUUUAAGAAGGAAGCAAGACGAUUACUAGACGAGAAGCUGUGUACAGCCAAAUGAAAAGGCAAAAGCAUUUCCCUAACAUUAGGAUCAUCCCAUUCCACUGAUUCCCACCAAGUAAUUGUUUGGCCCUUGAUCCAAUAUAGACUUGGUGUAUUCUACUGAGAUUUGUAAAUUUAUUUUCUUAAAUUGAAAGCACUGUUGUGAAGAUUUUUCCCUUUCGAAAUGAUUGGUUUUUCAAUGUCAGACAAAUUAAGAAUACACCAUACUUUAGAAAUGGAAACAUAUAUAAACUACUUAUUAAAUUACUACAACAUCAAGCAAAUUACUGUAAUGAACAAGUGAUAAUGAAGUCAAUAUAAUCCAAGAAGAUAGAUUGAAGGGAGUUCAGUUGGCUAAUUGAUGCAGAGAAUAUUUGGAGCAGACUGGGUUAAUCCUUGUCCAAAACUCCUUGAAAGCCUCUUCAUAGCAAUUUCCUGUGACCAUUUACUAAGAUAGAUUGAAAGACCGCCUGCAAAUAGGAGAGAAGAAAAUGUUGAUGUAACGACCCAAGUCCAAUCACCGGCCCAGCAACUUUUCGAACCUAAACCAAUCACUGGCCUAGCAACUUUUCGAACCUAAACCACAUGGCCCUUAAAAGCUUAAGCUUAAGUUACUAGUAGUGAUGGACUUGGAUUGUUAUAUAGGUAUUAACAAUCAUAUUCAUAUUAGACGUGAGAUUUGAGGUAUCACAAUCCGACCCAUUCAGAUCCUUGAUGUCAUCAUCAAGACCACACAUCACAUUCACGAGACCAAGAUCUCAUUAGAGCAAUGUGAAAGCUCACAUCGGACUAGCGCAAGCUCUUAUACCAUUUGUAAUGACCCAAGUCCAAUCAUUGGCCCAGCAGCUUUUCGGACCUAAACCACAUGUACCUCAAAAGUUGAAACUCAAGUUACUAGUAAUGAUGGACUUAGAUUGUUAUAUAAGUUUUAACAAUCAUAUUUAUAUCAGAUGUGGGAUGUGAGGUAUCACAAUGAACUUGAGUUUAAGUUUUUGAUGACCAUGUGGUUUAAGUCUAAAAAGCUGUUGGGCCAGUGAUUGGAUUUGAGUCAUUACAAAUGGUAUCAGAGCCUACGCCAGUCCGAUGUGAGUUUUCACAUUGCUCUUAUGAGAUCUUAUUCUCGUGGAUGUGAUGUAUGGCCUUGAUGAGAACAUCAAAGAUUUGAGUUGGUGGGAUUGUGAUAUCUCACAUCCCACAUCUGAUAUGAAUGUGAUUGUUAAAACCUAUAUAACAAUUCGAGUCUAUCACUACUAGUAACUUGAGCUUAACUUUUUAAGGACCAUGUGGUUUAGGUCCUAAAAGCUAUUGGGCCAAUGAUUGGACUUGGGUUGUUACAGUUGAUUAACAUCAACAAGUACAUCCCCUAGAUAAAUGAAUAAAAAUAAACACAGAAUGUGGAUAAAAAUAAACUGAGACUAUUUGCAGUUUUAAGAAAAAACGUUGAGGACUUUACCGAUGUGAACCGUCGAGCCACAUUUAAUGGAGUAGAUUUUCUCCAUCUCAUUCUACCAAAUAAAAACAAAGGGAGAAAAGACAUGCUUAGCAUCAAGGUGAUCCCAUUGCACUGAUUCCCACCAUUCACUCUGGCUUACAUUGAUUUCUUCUAGAAAAGGAAGAGGACAUGGUUGCCCAUUUUCAAAAAGGGCAAGACACAAAGGGAUCCUCUUUAGAUUUGGACAUUUCCAUAUUCGAAGAUUUCGGAGAGAAUCUGUAGGAAUCACAACUCCACCACUGUAAAUGCUUUUCAAUUUUGGUAAGUAGAUCAUCCAUAAUGAUUUUAAUUUAAGCAGAAUGAAUGUUGUUCUUUCUCCUUUACGAUUUUCUUCUUAUUCUGAUGCUAUUAUUUCCUCUAUUUCUUUAUAGUCUUCAACUUUAAUUUCCUGUAAGUUUUAGAGACCUUGCAACAACUCAAUUGGGAACAACUUCUUCAUCUUCCAACACAAAUCUAGAUGCAAUAAUUUAAGAGAAAAGAAGAUGGUAGGUGGGGUUAGAGGAGGAGAGGUAGAACCAAAUUCAAGCGCUACUCUUACUCUCACAUGUUCAUGCAAGUUCCACAAUGACUUAAGGAAUAUCUUCUUAAUGUCAUCAAGUGUGUUGCAAGGCGACAAUGACAAGUCAACCACACACGCCGUCCCUUUACACUCCUCAAUUUAACAUAUCUUCAAGUUAGUUGCCUUACGAAACAAAGGAAUAUUGCUUAAACAUUUGAAAUCAUUACACUUCCCAAUACGUAAAGUAUGAAGGCCAUUUGGGACUAGUGUAUCUUCUAUUUUCUCCAUCUCACAAUGCAUGAAUGUUAUCUGCUUUUCAAGUUUCUCUAAAUUUUGGACAGGUAGACUAUGUAAAACCUCAGAUGAUCCUACUUCAGGAUAAAGAUUUUUAGGCCAUUUACCUUGUAUAGACUUUGCAUAUCUUGAACUCUUACAAGUCACAAAAUGAACAUGAAAGAAUCUCAAGCUUCAUCAAUUUGCCUUCUUCUUCUCCCAUUAAAUGCGGCCCUACUAUUAAGCAUUGGAGAUGAGACAUCAUCAGCAAUAUUCCUACAGGCAGCUCUUUUAUAUUAGAUGACCAUAGACGGAGAUAUCUAAGGAUUUCUAACUUUUUUAUUCCAUGAGGAGCCUCUUCAAUUCCCAUAUACAAAAGGUCCAACUUUUUAAUGCUCUAAGCUUUGCCGAGGAAGGCACACAUUUUAAUAUGUAACAACAAAAAAGUAUCAAUGCAUUAAGAUUUUUCAAGUUACAGAUGGAAUUGGGUAGAUCUACAAUCUGAGUACGAGAAAGAUCUAAAACUUUUAGGUCAGACAUGUACUUAAAUAAAGAUUCUGGAAUCCUUCUUAAGCCACAGUUUUGCAAUAUCAAAGUUGACAAACGAGGACAUUCAGGUGAUAUGUGAGGAGGGAUUUCUAUUAAUUUUGAAUUGUCUAAUAUCAAGGAAACCUUCUCAACACUCAUUGUCCAUUCCUGCUUAAUUGGUAGUUCCUUUAAUUGCAUGUAUUGAUGACCACUACUUUUAACAUACAAUGCCACGUCUCUCAAAACAUCAUGCAUCUUAACUUCUUCCGUAUAAUCAGUUGUAGUCCUUUUUAACAAGCAAUUAUUUUCAAGCUUAUUUAAAAUGCUAUGGCCUUUGUCAUACAUUGCUUGUCUAGUCCCUAAGCUAUCAAGGAGUCCCUCAUCUAUCCAUUUUUCAAUUAAGUCUGUUUUUCUAAUUCUAAAAUCCUCAAGAUACAAGGAGCAAUAUAAGAAAUGAUUUUGGAUUUCUAGAUCUCCCAAAUGGUCAUAAUUGAACUUUAAACACUCAAAUUUUUCAAUGUUCGACCCUUUCACAAUUUUCACUUGCUCCUCUAAUUCAUUUAGUGCAUUCCUUCACUCACAAAUAUCAUCUACUUCUACCCCUUUUAGGCUACUAGCCAUUGUCACAAUGAAAAGUGGUAAACCGCCACAUUGCUCAACAAUUUUGUUGACAAUAUCUUUUAAAUUUUGAUCUUGUAUAACACUAUACCCCACACAAUCUAAGAAUAUAUUCAUGGACUCUUUUUUUGAAAGCGGUUGCACUUUGACCACCUCACAACCCAUAGAUUUAUAGACCUCAAUUGAUGUACUAGUGAAAACUACUUUCCUCCCCAUACUUAAUGUUGGUUUUGGGAUUUCCUCAUUUAGUAGAGAAAGUCAUUUCCAAACAUCGUCUAAGAUCAACACAUAUCUCUUUUUCUCUAAAAUAUCUUUUAAUGUUGCUACUCGUUGCAAGUCAUCUACUGGAAGAGAUUAUUUCAAAAAAUUUGUAAUAUCUUGUUGCAAUUUGAAAAUAUUCAAUUCUUUUCAUAUAGUGACCCAUAUCACUUGAUCAAAUCAAUUAUCCUUCAACAAUUGAUUAUUGAUAUGCUUCAUGAUUGUAGUUUUCCCUAUACCACCCAUUCCACAUACUCCAAUCAUUCCAACCUCUUCACCCAUCAGAUACUCUGAAAUUUGCUCUUUCAUAUUGAUUUCACCCUCUAGAUUUGGUGUUGCUAAUGUCAUCCCAGCAAUUGAAGGCCCAUCAACCGCCACACCAUCAGGGAAACAACCUUGUUGGUAAAUUUCCAUUACUCCUUCAAUCUUUCCGCAAAGAAAUUUUCCUAGAUGGCCGCAUAAUAAGUAUGAAACAGCACAGAACUUCUUUUCAAUCUCUUUCAUUUCAGUCUUUACCCUUUGUACCUCUUUAAACCAGUUCUCCACUUCUUUCUUCACCUCUUUUCUGUGACGAAGCUCCGCAUCCUUAAUGGAUUCAACAUCUUUCUUUCGAGAUUUCAAAGCAUCCACUUUCCUUCGAAGCUCAUUCAUAUGUUCUGCAGGUUUUCGAUGAUGAUCUAUGUAUCUAUAGGUUGGAUCCCAAAAAUACUUUAUCACUUCAUAAAUUAGCCCUAAAAAGUCCAUAUAAGCUACACCCUAUAAUUUAAUAAACCAACUUAUAUUACAUCUCUACAUGAUAUAAGCUACUCCCUGUACUAAAAUUCAAUAAAAUAAUAUGUAGCCUAUACGUUACAAAAAAAAUGUUACAAAAUAAUAAAUUUUUAAUUUCAAAAUUGGAAGACUAAAUUUACUAUAUGUGAUUUUUUUAUAUAUUUUACACAUUUAAUACGAAUUCAAAUGAGAUUAGGCAAGAAUUUGUAAUUGUUAGCCUAAGUGAACAUAGAAUGACCAUUUAAUGUUAAAUAUUCAAAUUCAAAAAUGGAUAUUGUCACCCAAAAAUGUAUUUGCUAGCAUAACUCAAAUAAAAGGAAAACUUUAUAAUAUUAAAAUUUGCAUUGAUUUCACUGUUUUCUCUACCAAUUGUUUCAAAUAGCGUUUAUUGCUAUUAAUUUUUUUGACCAUGACUCCUAAUUUGAUUUUUGUUUCAUACUUAUUACUUAUUUAAUUGUUCACAUUCAUAAUUCAGAGUUUACCUUAUAUGGUUACUUCAACUUUACCUCUUAAAAUAUGAGAUAUCUUGAAAUUAAUGCUAUAAAUUGCAAAUUUUUUCUACUUACUUGGUAUGUUUUUGUUAAAGAUUAUAUAUAGUUUCUUAGGCUAUUCUCCACUCAUAUUUAGUUUCUAUGUUUCCCUAAUCCAAAUUUCCAUCAUCAAAAGUUUGAUUUCUUCUUUUUGCAGACCUCUUUGAAUUAUUCAAUUUUGUCUAUAUAUGUAUUUUGACCUCAUUGAUUUAUAAUUAUUUAGUAGUUAUGUAUUUCAACCUCUUUAAUGAACUAUUCAAUUUCUUAAUUUAUUUUCUUUAGUCAAUUGUUUUACUGUAUUCAUAUGAGUAGAUUUUCAUCAGAAUCAUUUAAUCUUCUAAGACGUUAUUCAUUAACAUGGAUACUUCCAACUUAAUUUUUUUUUACAUUCUACUUUAUAUUUUAAAUUCUUAAAAAUUAUUAUAAAAUAAAAUUAUCACCUGUGCAUUGCAUGGGGAUAAAUCUAGUUUUUGAUAAUAAUAAACAUCAUCUUAACCAAUAAUAAUGAUAAUAAUAAAUAUCAAAGACCCAAGCAAAUAUUAAUCAUUUUGAAUUGAUAGUCCUAAAUAUUUUCAAUUGUGGAUUAAUAAAAUCUAAACAUGAGUAAGGAAUAUAUAUAUUACAUCUUUUUGAUAAUUAAAACAACAAAGCUUGUGACAACAACAAUAUAUCAUAAAAAGAUAUUUAAGAAAUGAUAGAAAGAAUAAAUUGAGAGAAUAGAAUGAUAUUUAGGGUCCGUUCGUUUUGCAGUAAAAUAUUUUCCGGAAAAUAUUUUCAGGACUUAUGCUUGUUUGGUAGAUGGAAAAUUAAUUUCAGAUGUAAAACAUUUUACGAGUUAAUAGGGUUAACCAUGGAAAAUGUCUUAUACGCUUGAAUGGCGUAAGACAUUUUUCAAAGAACAACAAAAACACUUUUAUGCUAAGUUUAUGAUUAUAAGUUUGAUGAAUAUUAAUAUUUAACUUAAAAUAUUAAAAAAAUAAAAAUAUUAAUAUUUAACUUUAAAAUAAUUACUUUAAAAUAUUAAUAUUUAAAUUAUACAAUACUAUUAAAAUUAAAAAAAAUAUUAUUGUAAUGAAACCAUUCAAUACAAUUAAAUUUUUUAUUUAUAAAUGGAAUAAAUCUUAUUAAUAAUUAUAAUAAAAAAUAUUUCAAUGAUCAUUAUUUGAUUAAUACACAUUUAUAAUAGUUUUAAAUCUUACUAAUAAUUAUAAUUAAAAAUAUUUCAAUGAUCGUCAUUUAAUGAAUACACAUUUAUAAGCAUAGAUUUAGGAUAUCUUACACAAUUGAUAAAUAUUUACAUUUUAUAGUUAUGAUAAAAAAGUGAUAAAAUGGAAAUUUUUUUGAAAAUUAGAGUUUAUUUUCAUCACAGAUAUGUGGUUAAAUGNGAAAUUUUUUUUUAAAUUAGAGUUUAUUUUCAUUACAGAUAUGUGGUUAAAUGCUUUGAGAAAUAUCAUUAUUGAUUUUGUCCAUUUUCAUCUUCAUUCUUAAUUUUGAUCCCAAAUUAGUGAAAAUCAAAUAUCAAUAUUGUUUUGUAAUCAACUCCUAUUUAUUAUUUUAACGCCUAAAUAAGUCCACCAUAAUGAAAAAUAUUUUUCAUAAAAUGAUCCAAACAACUGAAAAUGUUUUCGAUAGUUUAUCCAAAUAAUAAAAUAUAUUAAAUUUUCCUAUAAAAUAUUUUACAUAGGAAAAAUUUUCCUUCAGUAAGUCAAUUUACGAUUACCAAACGGACCUUAAAGUACCUGGUUUCCUUUUCAAAUUAUUUGGAAAGACCAAGAAUAGAGGUUAAGUAGAUGAACUGCAAAUUAAUCCCCUUGGCUCCUUGCGUUAAGUAGAAAUUUUUGUGGAAAAUUAAAAAUCUUAUUUUUAACACCAGUAGUGUUAAUUCAAAUUUAUACUUGUACCAAUUCAAAUUUAUAUUUAAGAGGAGAAUCAAUCCAAUCUGAAGAGUGAAAAAGUCUUGAAUUAAUUCCUUGUUGCUGAUGUAGAGAGAUGUAGUUGUAGAAGAAACUAUGCAUAGAAGGAACAAGUUUAGCCCUUGAAAAGAGCCUUGUGGAUGGCUCUUGAUCUUUACACAAAUGCUGCAGAGAACUUGUAAAUGAUGAGCUUGCAUGGAAUUUGUAUAUCUUAAUCAUAUGAAGCUUCAGUUUGGUCCUUCAAUUUCUCUAUCUAUGAAAUAAACACAAGGCAUUGUAUAUGAACUAUUCUAUACAUCUCAACUCUUCUUGGACAUAGAGAAAACCACCUUCAACUUGCUUUGAAAUUUCCUUCCUUGGUACAUGAUGCUGUCAAGUUAAGAACAUUGAAAAAUAGGAUUCAACCUUGCAAUCUAUAUUGACAUGAGGUUAACAUAAUUCUAAUCCAGUAUUGCAACUCCAUUACUGUCGACUCAAUCUGUAAUUAAUUUAAACAUAAGGGAAAGUAAGGUUAGAUUCAUUCGCAUUGGCUUUCUCUGCCCUGCUUUUAGAAAUUUCGUUGGUGAAAUUGGAUAAUGCUUCUUUCAGAUAAAAGACUUGAAGAUACCCCUUAAUAAAAGGAUUUGACAAAUUCUAAAUAUAAUUAGUUGAAUCAUAUGCAGAAACUGAAUUUGAAUCUCAAAAAGAAGAUUUUCUUCUCAUGAAAGCCUCUGUCAAGAACAUAUCCAGAUGACUUACAAUUCAAGUGAAUUUGGAUAGUGCUUCUGAUGAAAGCCUUCGAACAUUAGAACUACAGAAGACAUACAAUUCAAGUGACCAGAUUCCAGAUCAAAUAUGAACAAAUCUUGUAAAUUAGCAUUUUCUCCGCUCCUUGUUAUGCAACGACCAAGAGGCUUUACAGGAUUACGCUGCUGAAGCUUGGCAAUCAAUUUCACAUCAUUUCAUAGCACAUACAAUCCUUGUCAAGAACUCCUUCAAAGCCUAUACACAGCAAUUUGUCAUCCAUCUGAUAAUGUACCUUGAAAGGUUAAAAGUAAAGAUUGCAAAAGGGUUUUCCUUGUACAUACGUCCGAAUCCACCUUAUCCAAGCUUCUUGUAUAUUGGUGACUUUAGCUAUAGAGGAUAGGUCAAACAAGUCGAACCUCUGUGUUUUCCUUAUUGCCUACAACGUUCUGCUCAGCUUCUCCCAUGGUUUCUUUCUCUGAAAUAGAGGGAAAUGUGCCUCCUUAAGUGUACAGUUUUAAUGAUUUUUUUUUUGGAAGAUAUAGUGAUUUUUCAAUGCUGUUUUUUCCUCUGUUUUUUCUCCACUGACAAAUGAUUGAUACGCAAUUUCUAGCAAACUAUACCUUUCGAAAAAUUUCAAGAAACAGAAGAGCUAAAUGUUAUGGUUGACAAGACAAAUGAGCUUUACCUUGUAGGUUUCUCCAGAGUUUGUAAAGGUAACAGUCAAUUAUCACCAUCCCAGCAACAAUGGCAAGGUCAAUUCUGCUUUGAGAUAACAGCCAUCCUCUUCUUAGGCUCAUCUUUAGCCUUUUCAGGUUCAGAUUUGACACAGGAAAGUCAGUUAAACUUAUUUUCAGAAAGUAAGACACAGAGUUAAAAAAUGCUAAUGACACAUGAAAAAGCAAAUGAAUUAAUGAGUUAAAAUUAGGUGCAAAUUUAAUUUUGAAGCAGAAAUUUGAAUAUAAUGUACUCGCCCACCAGAAGGUUUCUGUCUGAUAUCAAAUAAUCAAAUCACAUGACUGAAAAGUUAGUGGUAGGGCCAAGAACUGAAGGUCCAUGUUUUCCUUGAAGCUUUCAGCAUGCCCUGAUCAGUUUCUUCAAUGUUUUUCUCUUAUCUAAUGUUCUGCUCAACAAAAGAAUAAAAAAUAAAAAAAUUUAAGACUAAAUGUAAAUGCAUGGUAAACUUGCUGUCUAGCUGAGAUGGUUUUAGAAAUUACUGAAGGCAUAGUGAAUGCUAAAUUUUUAAUGAAAAUCUGAUAGCCCAAUAACCAUAGGCAAAAAACAACUUGUGAAAGGACCAACCUAUCAUUGCCAUCAUCAGCCUCUUACUCUUCAUCCUCUUCUGAAGAAAAUUCUAAAACAACUUGUGAAAGGACAUCCUUAGCAUCAGGAUCAUCAAAUUCCACUAAUUCCCACCAUUUUCUUGGAUGAACAUAGCCAUGCUCGAGAGGAGGAGGAGUUGGUUGCCCAGUUUCAAGCCGGGGUAUGGAGAAAGGGAUCUUCUUGAGCUUUAGACAAUUUAUUAUUGAAAGAAAUUGGAGAGAGUUUGCAGGAACCAUAACUCCACUAGUACAAAUGCUUUUCAGUUCCGGUAAUUUGAUCAGGUGCAAGGUCUGUAAUUUGGGAAAAACAUAUGUUGUUACUUUAGGACCCCUUUCUUCUUCUUUGUGAUUUUCUUCCUCUGCUUCUGAUGCGAUUAUUUUCUCCAUCUUCUCACAGCGAUUAACUUCAAUGUACUCUAAGUUUUGCAAGCCCCGCGACAGCUGAACUGAAAACAAAUUCUUUAUACUUGAACAACGAAACAAAUGAAAUUUCCUAAGAGAAGAGAAGAUGGCAGGCGGUGCUGGAGUGUGAGAUGUAGAGACAGCUGCUACUCUUCCUUUCACAAGUUCUUGCAAGUUGGACAAACAUCGAAGACGUAGAACCUCAAUGUUCUGCAAUGAAUUGCAAGAUGAUAACGACAAAUCAACCAUGCACUUUAUUCCUUUACACCAACUAAUAGUACAUGUCUUCAACUCAUUUGCUUUACGGCACAAAGAAAUAUUGCUCAAGCUUUUGAGAUCAUGACAUGCCUCAACAGUCAGAGUCCUAACGCAAUUUGGGAGCACCACAAGAUCUUCUUUCCCUAUCUCGCAAUUAAUAAAACAUACCUUUUUGUCAACUUCGACAUCCUCAAGAUGAGAACACCAAGGAUGGCUCCUGAUGUUGCCCAAAGUAGGUGAUCCAACUCCAAGCCAGUAUUUGGAGGGCCCUUGACCCAAUAAAGACUUGGCAUAUCUCUCAAAGUCUUGUAUUUCACAAAAGAAUCCUAGAAGAAUCUCCAGCUUCCUUAGUUUGGCUACUUCCUCUCCUCUUCUAUUCAUCCAAGUUUUCAAGUAUUGGAGAUUAGAAAGCCUUAAUAGAAUUUCCGUUGGUAGUUCCUUUAGAUUCCUUGAAUAUAAAUCAAGAUAUGUGAGGCUUUCUAACAUUUCUAUACCACGAGGGACCUCCUCAAUAAUUGUAUCAAAAAGAUCCAACUUUCUCAAGGCUGUAAGCUUGGCUAAUGAAGGCACGUAUCUUAAACUGCUACACCUUCGAAGGACAAGUGCAGUUAGAUUUUCCAAGUUAGAAAUGGAAUUGGGCAGAUCAUAAAUGCCAGUAUCCGAAAGAUCUAGAACUUUUAGCCCAUGCAUGUGGUCAAAGAAAGAUUCUGGAAUUCUUUUGAGACUAUGAUUUUCUUGCAAUAACAAGGUUGACAAAUUAAGGCAUUUCGGUGAUAUCUGAGGAACUUGUGAUAUGUAAUUGUGAAUCAAGGAAACCUUCUCAAGAUUCUCUUUCCAUUUAUGCUCACUUGGUAACUCCACUAAUUGCAUACCAGCUUGAACCAUAAAGUGAUGACACCCUCUUAUAAUAGACAAUGCCAUGUCUCUUAGAACAUCAUGCACCUUCACUUCUUCCUUAACAUUGUAAGUCAUCACCCUCUCUAACAAGCAAUUAUUUACAAGCUUAUUUAAAAUAGCGCGACCUCUGUCUUGCAUUGCCUGUCUAGUUUCUAAUUCAUCAAUGAGAUCCUCAUCUAUCCAUUUUUCAAUCAACUCUUCUUCCACAAUGUGAUAAUCUUCAGGAUACAAGGAACAAUAUAAGAAACAAUUUUGAAUUUUUGAAUCUUUCAAACGAUCAUAACUGAAUUUCAUACGCUCAAAUAUUUCAAUAUCUAACCCUUUCACACUUUUAACCCUUUCACGUAAUUCAUUUAGUGCAUUCCUCCACUCGCAAGUAUCGUCCACUCCUCUCAUGCUACUAGCUAUAGUCACAAUGGCAAGCGGUAAACCACCACAUUCGUCAACAAUAAGGUUUGCAAUUUCCUUUACAGUUGGAUGUUGUAGAACCCUAUCCCCCACCAGAUUCAAAAAUAAGUUCAAUGACACCUUCUGCGAAAGAGGCUGCACUUUAAACACCUUACAACCCAUAGAAUUACAAACCUCAAUUGAUCUACUAGUGAUUAUCACUUUGCUCCCAUUAUGUAAUGUUGGUUCCGGGAUUCCCACAUCCAAUAGAGAAAACCGUUCCCAAACAUCAUCUAAGAUCAACACAUAUCUCUUUCUUUCCAAGACUUCCAUUAAUACAGUUGCCCAUUGCAACUUAUUUUCUGGAAGACAGCAUUCUAAAGCACAUGCAAUAUCUCCUUGUAAUUUGACAGCAUUGAAUUCUCUAGAUACGGUGACCCAAAUCACUGCAUCAAACUGAUUUUCCUUCAACAAUUGAUUAUUGAUAUGCUUCAUGAUGGUAGUUUUUCCCAUUCCACCCAUACCACAUACUCCAAUCAUGCCAACCUCGUCACCCAUUAAAUUUUCCCAAAUUUGUUCCUUUACAUCGAUUUCACCUUCUAGUUUUGUUGUGAGAAAUGUCACCCCUGUAGCUGGAGGCCCAUCAAUUGUUACACCCUCAGGGAAAUUACCUCGUUGAUAAAUUUCCUUUGCUUCUUCAAUCUUCUGGCAAACAAAUUUCCCUAGGCGUGCACGUGAGAAGUAUGAAACAACACGCAAUUUCUCUUCAAUCAUUUGAAGUUCAAUAUUUAUCCGUUCUAAAUCUUCAAACCAUUUCUCCACUUCUUUCUUCACCACUCUUCUGCAACGAAUAUCUGCUUCCUUUCUGAAUUCAAGGUCUUGCUUUCGAAUAUUUAGAUCAUUCACUUUUCUUUUAAGAUCAUUCACAUUUUCCUUAAGUUUCCGAUGAUGACUAAUGGAUCUAUAGGCUGGACCCCCAAAGCACUUUACCACUUCGAAAAUUGGCCCUAGAAGCUCCAUAUAAGCUACUCCCUGUAGUUUAAAAACCAAUAUGUAUAUUACAUCUCCAUAUAAGAUACUGCUUGUACUACUAUGUUAUUAAAUCUCAAACUUUUAUCAAUUCUUCUAAAGAAAAAAAAAACAAAAGAAAAAAUAUUGCUUUUAAAAAACUUUAUUAAAUACAAGAAUCCAUCAUCUAUGAGAAUAGUGUUUAUAUUUCUAAGACUACUUAUACGUUAAUGGUUUUAUAUAUAGUAUAUGUAGAUGAAUGUAUACAUGUUUGUGUUUAUAUAUUUAUAUAUAGUGUUCAACUUUCUCACUUAAGAACCAUCACAAAUUCUUUAAAUAUGUCUGACCUGUGUUUUCGAGUCUUGAUCAUUAGAACAUUAAUAAAAGGAGGAAUAAAAAAAUGAGAAAACAAUUCUCAAUAAUAUUAAACAUCAAGGACCCAAGCAACUUUCUCACUUAAGUUGUAUCACUCUCUAACAGGUAAUUAUUUUCAAGCUUAUUUAAAAUGCCCUCUGUCAUGCUUUGUUUGUCUGGUUUCUAAGCUGCCAUGGAGCCUCUCAUCUAUCCAAGUUUCAAUUAAUUUCAUUUUCUCAAUUUCAAAUUCUUCAGGACAUAAGGAACAAUAAUAUAAGAAAAAAUUUUAAAUUUUGUAUUUCUCAAGCAAUCAUAACUAAACUUCAAACAACCAAAUAUGUUGACGUUCACACCUUUCACACUUGUCACCCACUCUUCGAAUUCAUUCAGUGCAUACCUGCACUCACAAUAUCAUCUACCCCUUUCAUGCUACUGGCUAUUAAUGUCGCAAAGCGGUAAAUCGCACAUUGCUCAACAAUUUUGUUGACAAUGUCUUUUAAAUUUCAAUCUCAUACAACACCACAUGAUCUAAGAAUAAGUUCAUGGACCACGUUUUUUAAAGUGAUUUCACUUUGACAACCACACUAUCCAUAAAUUUACAGACCUCAAUUGAUUUACUAGUGAGUACAACUUUCCUCCCCAUACCUAAUGUUGGUUUUGUGAUUCCUACAUCCAAUAGAGAAAAAAUUGUUUCUAAACAUCAUCUAAAAUCAACGCACAUCUCUUUUCCUCCAAAAUAUUAUUUAAUGUUGCUGCUUAUUGCAAUAUAUCUUUUGGAAGAGAUUGGUACGAAGAAUCUGCAAUAUCUUCUUGCAAUUUGAAAAUAUUCAAUUCUUUUAAUAGGUGAGCCAUUCCACUUUAUCAAGCCAGUUAUCCUUCAACACUUGAUUAUUUAUAUGCUUCAUGAUGGUGGUUUUCCCUAUGCCACUCAUUCCAUAUACUCCAAUCAUUCCAAUCUCAUCACUCAUCAAAUACUUCAUUUUUUAAUUUUUCUUCAAUUUCACCUUCUAGAUUUGGUGUUGGUAAUGUCACCCUGGUGGCUAAAGGCCCAUCAAUUGCCACACCAUCAAGGAAACCACCUUGUUGGUAAAUUUCCUCUAAUUCAUCAAUCAUUCAACAAAAUGAUUUUCCUGGACGACCGCAUAAGAAGUAUGAACCAACACAGAACUUCUUUUCAAUAUUUUCCAUUUCAGUCACCCUUUGUACGUCUUCAAAGGUUAAAUGGAGCACAGUAUGCAAGCCCAAAAGAUUUGGAGGACUGGGGAUCUCAAACCUUAAGCAUAAAAACUUAGCUCUCCUUGCAAAAUAUUGGUGGUGGCAGUAUGGCAACGAGGAAAACGCAUUAUGGAGGUGGCUGAUUGUAGAAAAAUAUGAAAGGGGGCAAAAUCAUUGGAUCCCCUCAUCAUCAAACAUGGGAAGAAUGUCACUGAUAUGGAGAUCCAUUGUAAAUUUACCUUCCAACAAGGGUGUUCAAGAACUUGUGUGAGACCAAGCAUGUCGCUGGAUUACUAUUUUCUUUUGGCUUUACAAAUUGAUUAAUGAUGUUCCUCUUUUCUCCAAAUUUUCUCCUCUUUUCUCUUUGAUUGUUUCAAAGGAAAUGAAAGUUGUUGACGUGCAGAACAAUCGCACUUGGUCCAUAACCUUUAAACACAAUCUACAUUUAUGGGAGAAAGAAUCCUAGGAUGAGAUCCUCCACAAGUUCUCCUCGAUUCCUUACUCCAAGGAAAAGGUGAUAAGCUCAUUUGGCGGCAUGACCCUAAGGGUGCUUACUCUAUUAAAACUUUCUACUUACUCCUUGAUGCUAAUCCUAGUGCUUGAAAGUUUGGUUCAACACUAUUUGGCACUUCUCCAUUCCACCGAAGGUGCAAUGUUUCCUAGGGCUCUCGCUCAUAUAUAGAUUCUUUACCUACCAAAGGCUUCCUUUCGUCCGAGGUGUUUAAUUCAAUGUUGAGCAACUUAGAUGCCCUUGGUGCAGCCUUGUAGUGGAGACAUUUGUUCUUUGUAUUAUCUUUCAGUAUGUUGCUAGUAGUUGAUGUAUAAUUCUCUUAGGCCAUGUUUCGGAUUGUUCUGCAUUUUGUAAGCCAGGCUGGUUAGGUUCUGUUAUGCACUCUUUGUGCACUCCCCUGUUUUUUUCAUUUUCUGUUCUGCAUCAACAGUUCAUUCCCAGCCUUGUACUUUAAAAAACCAACUUAUAUUACAUCUCCAUAAGAUAUAAGCUAUACCUUGUACUAAAAAGCAAAAGAAAAAUAAGUUUUGAAAACAUUAUUAGAAACAAGAAGUUUUUGUUUCGAUCAUCUAGGUGAAUAAUGUUUACAUUUCUAACACUAUAUUUAUCAAGCCGAAUGUAUAUACUAUUUAUAUAUAGCAUAUACUUCCCCCCCUAGAGAGCCAACACAAAUUCUUAAAUAUGUCUUGCCUACAUAUCUCAAAAAGAUAUUUAAGAAAUAAUUGCAUGAAUAAAUUGAGAGGGUAAAAUGACAUUAAAAAUACCAGGUUUCUUCUUCAGGAAAGAUGAAGAACAGGGCUCAAGUAGUACAAAUUAAUCCCCUUGGUUCCUUGCUAAGCACAAAUUUGUUGUGGAAAAUAGCUGACAUAAAAGAGGAACAAUCACUAGUGUUGUAAAGGUGAAAAGCUUAUUUGCUAAAGUUUUUGGAAUUAUUCUUAUUCUUGCUCACUAUAAUUAAUUUCAGCCUAAUUAAUAGAAUAGAAGCAUGACAAAGAAAGAACCAAAAUAAUUUUGUGCAACUUGACUAAAGAUGAUGAAAUUAUGUUACAAGAUUAUAAGAUUCUAAAGAACAUGAACCCAAAAGAUUAAAAAUCAUAAUAUAAAGGAAUAGGCAGUUCAAUUACCUGGUUAAAUGAGACAAUGAAUGGGUACGUCUCCUCUCCUUAGAGGGUCUUGGUUAUAUUGGUGGAAUGGAAGAUUAAUAUCUCCUUCUAGAAUUUGUCAAGAACAGAGCAAAAUCAGAUCUCUCUGCUGGCAAAAUAAUACUAAUUGACGAUGUGGAGCAACAAAACUUGUCACACGCCCUAUAUCUACUUUCUUAUAUUUAUAUUUCAAAGGAGAAUUAAUCCAAUUUAGAAAAGUCAUGAAUCAUAAUUUCUUGUUGCCGAAAUAGGAAGAUUUGGUUAUAGAAGAAACUACGCACAACAAGUUCAGCACUUUUGUUCUUUUUUAUAAUUAAGAAACAAACAUAACCCAAAAAGACAUAUGUUUAAGCAAUCAAUAUUGCAAGAAUAAAGGAGACGGUAGAAUGAUUGCAAGGGCUAAAGCCAUAUAUAGUAGGGGAAAGGAUAUGAAACCUGUUUCCUUCUUCAAAUUAUUUGGAAAGAUGGAGCUGAACAGGUUCUGAGCCACAAACCUCUUGGAAUUUUAUGUGGAAAAGUAACUGACAUGAAAGAAGGAGAAUCAAUAGUGUUAUGAUAAAGCUGAAACUCUUCACUUGUAGCCUAUGGGUCUAGUUUCUACUCAUUAAUGGAGAGAAUUAUUGAAUUAGGAAGCAAAAAAGAAUAUAAAGUCGGCAACUCAAUGCAAAGUCAUGAUAGGAGUUGCGAAGUCACUUUCCUUGAAUUCAAUAAAAAAACUGGCCACUUGUCCUCUCUAUAAUUCCAAUAUUGUCCUCACAAAUUUCUUUAUGUGUUAAGGAAAAGACCAUAAAUACGUAGAGAUGUUAAAACAGUGUAUCGGCUGAAUAACCAAGCUACUGUUUACUGCAAUAGAACCUUGACAUGACAUAAUUACACGUAUAAAAUUAUUCUUACUAAUAAUAAAGGUUUAAAUAUUGGUCAAGUAAUUUUGGUUGGACCACACUUGACUUUUUACUUAUAAAAAAUUUAGAAUUAUUUGUAAAAAUUAUUUUAUUCAUAACUUUUAAUAUUCAAAAAGCUUGUAAAAUAGUAAAAGAUAAAAUCAGAAAAGCAAAGCAGAGAAGAAACAAUACCAAGAAGAUAGCAACUAGCAAAAUCUUCUAUCCAAAGAGAAUGAAUUUUUGGAGCAAAAACAAAAUUAAAAAAUGGCCAAGUCAAUGCCACAAGUCGUUGCUGAGGUUUCCAAGUAACUUCCCUCGAAACAUGAUAUAUAUAAAUGCAUAUUUCCUAUUUUUUGUCGUUCGGAACAUAGAAUUUUCCUUUAUUUUUAAUCUAUUCUCACUUUGUAAAUUUUGUUUGACCAUUGGCUUUCUGAAUCUAAUCUAACCUCGUAUAAUUUCAUCAUGAGGUUUGUAUAUUAAUAAUGAUCAUUGAAGAAUCUAAAAUUAACAAUUAUCAAGUGGCCACUAAAGAAAAACUAAAAUGAAGUAUACUUUGUGUGAAAAUUUUUACUUUAUUGUUCAGAGUCUAGUCUUCUAGAGAUCAUAUUCUAUCUUGUGUGUGACAGACACCAAUUCUUAAUGCUCUGCACUGAAAACGCAAUAUACAUUUGCUGAAUCGAAAUUUAUAUUCAAAAGGAGAAAUAAUCCAAUUUAAUAAAUUACUAAAAAUGUCAUGAAUUAUAAUUCCUUGUUGCUGAUAUAGAAAGAUUUGUUUAUAGAACAAACUAUGCCCAACAAGUUUAUCCCUUGAUAUAAGUAAUGAGAAAGGAAAGAGGCUUGUGCAUGAUGGGGAUUCAGCUUCUUGCUUAUCAGCCAUUUCAGAUUACUUCAAAAAAUGAAGGGGAACAGAUCAAUUCAUUCUCUUCCAGAAUAUCCUGUUUAUUAUUUCCAUGGUUAUCGGUAUCAUAUCUGUUUAUCAAACCGAUAUAUUAUCCUUCAACAAUUGAUUAUUUAUGUCCUUCAUGAUGGCAGUUUUCCUAUGCCACCUAUUCUGCGUACUGUAAUCAUUCAAACCUCAUCACUCAUCAAAUACUCCCAAAUUCGUUCUUUAAUUUUACAUCGAUUUUAACUUUUAGAUUUGGUGUUGGUAAUGUCACCCAGGUAGCUAGAGGCCGCAUACUGUCAAGGAAACUACCUUGUUACAUUUCCUUCUUCAAUCCUUCAGCAAACAAAUAAAUUUGCUAGCAUAAAUCAAACAAAAAUCAAACUUUAUUAGAUUUAGCAAUACAUCCAAUUUCCAAAUAAAAUAAAACGGAUACAAGAUACCAUCCACUAACAGUGACACAACUCCUGCAAACAAUUCAAAAUAUAUUACAGCAUAACAAUAUUCCUCCCCUUCCCACCCCAUUUAUUUACAAUGUAUCCCAACCGGCCAAUCGGCAGGCAAAGUUGGGUAAGGGGAGUGUUGCUUCCUCGAUUACUUGCAAGUGACGUAUACUUCCACUACACCACAAUCACCAUCUAUUCUCUUGGAUUGGGUUCCGACCAGUGCAUCAAAGUGUAAACUGACAAUGUUGUGAGGCGGAAGCGUAUCUUUUUCUGCCAUCGAAUAAACUUUCCUCCUUUAAAGUGAUCUAACUUGAUAAUGUUGGUAGCUAUCUCUUUAAGUGAAGCCAUUUUGAAUGCUAAGAAAAUAAGUCUUAAAAUUGUUGGUACAAAUGGGGUUUAAAUGGAAUUCAAAAACUAGCAUAAUUGACUUCAAGACAAGCCUUUCAAUAGAAGUUAUAUUUAAAUUUAUUUUGCCCCCACCACUCAGUAUGCAAAAGAGGAAUAAUGCGAAUAGCCUUAGGGAUACAAUGAAAUCAACAUCUAACUUCAUCUUACACUUUAUGAGAGUAGACCGCUAGAUACACCUGAGGAUUUACAAAAUUAUUUGGCUUUAGAGCUUACUUUUUGCAACAAGUAGAUUAUAAGGAAUUUGGACGCUUUUGUAGUUGAUGGGAACUUAAGUGUUUACGUUAAUAGAACAAAAUAUUUUUCUUACUCUUUGAUAUUUCUGCUCUUGUUUUGUUUUUGAUUUGAUGUCUCAAAAUGGUUGGCAACAAGCCCUUCCUAUAGGCUUCCUAUAGGCUUGCAAGUGUCUCUUCUUCAAUGACCCAACCCUUUCAUUAAGGCACCAUUUUGUCUAAAAGACAUCUUUACAUUUUGUUAGACAUAACUUUUGGAUAAAUGUAUUAUUUCAAUAGUCAUCUUAUGAAAAGAUAACUAUUCAUUCUAUAAAAUAUAAUCUUUGAGUUAUAAUUUGUAAUAAUAACAUUCCGUAUUUAACUUUUGAGCUAUGGUGUCUUUUUAAUUUAUCUCAUAACUUUUGAAUGUCAUUUUACUAAGAGACAUAACCAUUCAUAUGAAAACUUGCCUACAAUCCAAUAGACACACUAUGUCACUUUAUGUGACAUAACCUUUGAGCUAAGAUAGCUUUUCAUUAUAUGAUACAAUCUUUGAUUUUGAAAAUGCACCAACAACUUUGACCUUAUAAACAACUCUAAAACCACCUUCCCCUAGCUUGAUGUCCAUAGAAAAGCUAUCAGUAGCACGAGCUACGGUAGCAAGCUCCAAUAUUGGAAGCUCCAUGUCUUCAUCCUGGCCUUGAUUUUCUUGAUCAUUUUCCUUAUUGUCUUUAGUUUCUUUAAAACAGUAGCCAAAAUAGGCUUGGCAUUCACCAUAAAAUAUGAUAGAUUCUUAUGCAUUUUGAUUGAGCUAGAUAAUUGGACAAAAAGCUGAUGUGGUUUUUGAGAUCACACAAAACCAUGUAUCUCCAGUUAUUUGCUUCAUUAACAACUCUAUUUUGACACCGAUAAGCAUUGAAGAAACUGCGUGUUGAUUUGCUAGCAUCAUUACUAACAAAGGAACAAAAUGAGCAUUAUUUGUGAAGGAUAUUUCAAAGUUACGUCUGAACUUUCUGGGGCUUCUAUAAAUGUAAUAACUGACAAUAAACAGCCCCAAAACCACAGCACAGUAGUGUUCCAAUCACUGCAGCAAGCUCCAUCCUGAGCUUAUCUUUCAAUUCUGUAUGACAGAAUUUGAUAAAGAAAAGCAUAUAUGAACAAAAAAAAGUAGUGAAAACAAGAGAAAAUGUAAACUCAUACCUGAUUUUGGAGCAGACACUCUAACAUAUAGGUCCUGCCCUACUGAUUGAAAUUUUCUGUAAUCAAUCAAAUUACCAAACCAAAAGGCGCAUCCCCAAACUCUUCCUCCAUUAUCUGAACUAGUGUAUGCUUGGCUUUCUACAUUCCAUGUGAAGUCCUGUAUCAUCAGUUUGGUUCAGAACAAGUCCUGUGAUCAAUGAUUUCUAUUUGAGACAUUUUGUAUGGUUGAAAUAUAAAAUAGAAAUACCCGGACAUUGAAGAGAUAUUGAAGAGAAUUUGCAGGAAUCAUAACUCCAAAACCACAAAUGCUUUUCAGCUCUGGUAAUUUCAAUAAGGAAAGUUUCCUUAAUUUGGGAAGAAUGAAUGUUAUGCUAACAGCCCUUCCUUCUCCUCUGUUAUUUUCUCCCUCCUCUUCUGAUUCUAUUAUUUGCUCCAUUUUUUCACAAAGCCUGACAUCAAUUUCCUCCAAAUUUUGAAAACACUGCAACAGCUUAAUUGAACACAACUUCUUCAUCCUCGAACAGUUUCUCAAGUAAAAACUUUUGAGAGAAGAGAAAAUGGCAGGUGGUGUUGGGAUCUGAGAUGGAGAUACACAUAGAUUCAUGGUUUUCAUGAAUAAGAUAAAAAUGUUAUGAUCACCAUUUAAACAUAAUAUAUAUAUAUAUUUAGAGUAAUCACACUAAUCAUAUCAAAUUAAACUCAUACUCAUAAUUUGCACGCAACAUCAAAUCACCAAAUCUUAUAUAGAUAAUUUAAACUAUUAAUCUUGUUUAAUUAUAUUUGUAUUCAUCAUUUGAAGGGCUUUGUAAAUUUGUAAAGUAAACAACAAUAAGCAAUAAUUAUGUUUAUUUUCAAUAUCUUGGUACUGAUACAUCACUUCCCAAAUAUGCUUUCCUUUUCUUUUUCAUAUAUAGACAUUGUUUUAUUUGGAGAUUGUAGCUAGCUAGACACCAUUAUUGCCAGUCCAAGAGGUGACACUUUGGAGAUUGAAUAGCAUUUAAUUUUCAGGUGUUUUGGUCUUGAGAUGAGUGGCAACAUUAAUUCUUUUGGAUCUGUUGAAUUAGCUUUUGUAUAUAAAAGAAGGUAUACCUCCUCAAACAUGGAAAAUCCCCUUUCAAACCCAUAAUUUUAAAGAAAGAAAAUCCUAAUUUAAUAGAUUAGUUGCCAACUAAGGACAAGCAUUGUUGAUGUGACAUUUAUUUUGGUAUAUUCUAACACUCGUUGACUAGAUUCAAUUGGAUAGGAUUCUUAAUUUUGAUGAGAUUUAUGGGUAGUGAUUAAACAAUGGAAGUGUUGACAAUGGAGGUUCUAAGUCCCUUGCAUCUAAGAAAGAAAUGAAUUUGUUCAAUUGACACUGCUUUGGUACAUAUAGAAAGUAAGCUAAUACCAUAGCCAUAUUUCUUACGUGACUUCCAACAAAUUUGAGACUUCAGUAUGGCAAAAUAUUGGGUAUUUGAAUAAAUUACAAUACAAAUAGAGAAAGAAAAAAGAAAGAGACUAAAUAGAAAGGGGAAGUGGAAAGAUCCCCAAAAUCAAUUAAUUGUAAGUGGAAGGAGCAAAGCCCAACUUUGUUGGCAACAAAGUCAUGUUCCCACAGAUGAUUUUGUUCUUGUUGCAGAGCGUUGUCAAUAAUAUUUACUUCCAGGCUGUCUUUUGGUAAAUAGAAGCCGAUAAUGGUUCUCUGGAUCAAGCUCAAAUAUAGCUCCAUCUUCAAAAAUGAAUUGCAAAUCCUGACACUGAAGACAAAAUCAAGCCUUGUUAUUGCUUUUAAUAAAAGCAAAUAAAAUUUGAAGGGUGUUCAGCUGGGCAAUUACUAGUUCCCAAGUAACAGUUUUAACUGCUACUUUCCUGUACCAAAUUCCCAAGCAACGAUUCUUAGAGCUUCCAGGACUAAAGAAACCAAGCUCAAGGAUUCCGUCCAUCACUAACAGACUGGGAGGAGGCGGAGAUAUCGAUUCCAUCAGCAAUACUUGAAAACAAUAUUAGUAAAACAGUGUUGGUGAACAUGGAAGACAGAAUGUCCUUUUAAACUUUCAGAGCUUGUAAAACUCAUAGAAAAACUUUUCAGUUUGGCAGAUUUUAGAGAGCAAACAUAUUUAAACUGAUGAUCGUUGACUAGUAUGCAAAUCUUCCUUGAAAAGACCAAACUUUUCAGGUUGCAUAGAAUUCUUAUUUCUAAUUUUUAUGAAGCUUCAGUGCAGUCAUCUUGUAUUGUCUCUGUGAAUCAAAUAUAUAAAUAAAUAUAUAUAUAUAUAUAUAUAUAUAUUACCCACAAAUAGACACUUGCAGGGCGCUAAGCUCAAACUGGGACUAAACCACUGGUAUCAAAGCAUAAGGUACAUGACAUACUGACUGAUAGCCUAUAAUAAUGGCUUGGAGAUAAAAGAGCUAAGUAUACAGUUUAUCAAUUAUCAAGCAUCUAGUACUGACAGAGUUAUUUCAUUUGUGGGAGACGAUACAUUCUUGUCUGAUGAAGAAUCUUAUUCAAGUGGACUUUUCUUAAACAAAACACCAGGUUGUUUGGGGUGUGGCAAUUCAUUUUCGCUUCCCAAUGUCAGAAUCACAAAUGACAUACUUGGCCUAUCCUCUGGAUAUGCUGUUGUAAACUUAAACGACUGAUAAUGGAUGAAUUGUAUCACUUCUGAUAGAUUGCAAAGACUCUCCUAAGCAUUCGUCAACAAGUUUUAAAGGACUGCCUUAUUUACAUAAUCUUCAUGCCUGCAGCAAAUUGAAACCCUUUUAGGUUUUAUCAAUCCAAGAUAGGCAACAAAAAAUUGAUUAUAAAAAUAUCUGCUGAAACUGACAUGUUCAACAAGGUUGCCGCUUUGUGUUGGAUGGUAAAGCCCUCUAUUUUUUCUUCCCACUUAUUAUCUCCAUCAAUAAUAUACCAAAGCUAAAGAGAUCUGAUUUUACUGGAAGCAGUCCAUCAAUAGCAUAUUCCGUGCCAUAUAACCACUGCAGAACAUUAUCAAAAGCAAUAAAUAUAUGAGGGUAUGUAGACAUUAUGAAAAUAAAGUGAAAGUUAGUAAGUUCCAACCACUCUUUUAGCGUUCCCUUCAGUUUGGUCUCCUCCAAAAGUUCUAGCCAGUCCAAAAUCUGAAACUUUUGGAUUCAUCUCACUAUCAAGCAGAACGUUAUUAGUUUUGAGAUCUCUGUGAAUAAAAAAAAAUUAUUCAAAUGAAAUGGCAAAGAAUCUAAUUAACUCGUUUGAAGAAACUUUGGAUUUGCUAGCAUCACCAUUAACAAAGUGUUUUUUUUUUUUUUGUUUAUUUUGCAAAGGACAACUUGGCACGAUCUCUGUAAAGGAAAUGACUGACAGUGAACAACCCCAAAAGCACAACACAGUGUUAAUGCAGGAAGUUUUAUCCUAAGCUUAUCUUUCAAUUCUGUAUGAUGAAAUUUGAUAAAGAAAAGCAUACAUGAACAAAAACAAAAAAAGCAUUGAAAACAAGAGAAAAUGUAGACUCCUACCUGAUUCUGAAGCAGACAUUUUAACAUAUAGAUCCUGCCCUUUUGAUUGAAAUUGUCUGUAAUCAAUCAGAUGAUGAAACCGAAGGGCUCAACCACUACCUAUUCCUCUGUUAUCUGAACUAGUGUAUGCCAUAUAGGAAUAGUUCUACAGAUACUUAGCCCUGCGUCCCUUAAAAUUCAUACUUUUAGUUACCCAAGAAUGUGUAGCAUCUUGCAUUUUCAAAUCUUUUAAAUCUGACAAAUCCAUCUCUACUUUGGCAGUUGAAUGGCUUAUUGUGCUUACACCUUUGGGACCAGUCUGAUGAGUUCUAUCUUUCGGGAAAUUCAGGCUUAAACAUCAGCUUUCAGGGAAUUAAGGCUUGAAUCCUUUAAAAAGUGCAAGCUGAGCACCAUCACGAUUCCUUUUUGAACCACAAAGUCCAUAUCUGUCACAGUAGUCUCUUGGAGCAAAUGAGAAAAGCAUCCAAGCUUGCUUUCUGCAUUUCAUGUGUAGUCCUGUGAUCAAUGAUUUCUAUUUGAGACGCUUUGGAUGGUUGACAUAUAUAAUAGAAAUACCAGGUGGGUAGAUCAUGCAUUGUUUUCAUAAGAUGAUGUGAUUGAGUGACUUUUGAUGAAUGCAGAAUACACAAAGUGCAGCAGAAAACAAAUUAUAAACAUUGAGGUCCCAGAUAAUUUGUAUUUUUCAAUAAUAUGCAGCUUGUUCCUCUAAUCAUUCUCUUGAGUGGACAAACAUAACUUCAAUGACUUACUUGUAUUAAAUGAUUUCCAAUUCAUGAACCAGUUGAGACCAGUGUGGAUGCGUUUUCUCACAUCUGAUAGGUUGCAGGACAGUCCUAAGAAUUCACCACCGAGUUCAACAGGGGUGCCUUCCUCUCAUAAUCUCCAUGCCUGCAGCAAAUUGAAAACCUUUUAGUCAUUUUAUUAAAGUAUUUUAAUUCAUAAUAAUUAAAGUAUUUUAUUUAAGUGUUAAAGUUCUAUUUAUAGUAGUAGUAAUUAUUAUUAUUAUUAUUAUUAUUAUUAUGAGUGUGUGUGUGUGUCUUUUUUUGUUUUAAAAUUUGAAAAAAAAAAUUAAAACCAAAUUUGAAAAAUGUGAGUGAAAAUGAAAAUAAAGGAAAGGGGUAGGACGUGUCAGAUAGCAAUUGGCUGAGAUAUGCAGAUUGAAGGGUGUUUAGUUGGAGAUUUUUCUAUCAUUCAUAAAAUUAAAGACUUGGUUUUAUGUUUAUAUUAAAAAAGAGAAAUUAUUUAGCAAAUGAGAAAUUAAGAGAUAAAAAUAUUUAGCAAAUGAGAAAGAGAUGAAAAUAAACUCACAAUUAAUGUUUGCUGUUUUUAAUAAGAAGCAAGAGCCUUGCACCCUCAUUUAAUCAAACACCUCUUCUCCAUCUCAUUCUACCAAUACUGAACAAAGGGAGAAAGGACAUCCUUAGCAUCAGGCUGAUCCCAUUCCACUGAUUCCCACCAUUCUCUCGGGCUUACUAUGAUUCGUUUUAGAAAAGGAGGAGGCAAUGGUUUCCCAUUUUCAACAAGGGGAAGAGACAAUGGGAUCCUCUUUACUUCUGGACAAUCGAAUAAUGUGACAUGUUGGAGAGAAUCUACAGGAAUCACAAGUCCACCACGGCAUAUGCUUUUCAAUUUUGGUAAUUCUUCCAAGACUAAUGAUUUUAAUUUGGGAAGAAUAAAUGUUGUUCCUUCUCGUUCCUGAUUUUCUUCUGAUGCUAUUAUUUCCUCCAUUUCAUAACAAUUUCCAACUAUAAUUUCCUCUAAGUUUUGGAGGCUUUGCAACAGCUCAACUGGAUACAACUUCUUAAUCUCGUAACAAGAAUACAGUUUCAGUGUUUUAAGAGAAGAGAAGAAGGCAGGUGGUGUUGGAGCAUGAGAGGUAGAUUCAAUUUCUGCUGCUACUCCUACUCUCACAACUUCACGCAAGUUCCACAAUGACUCAAGCCAUAGCUCCUCAACGUUGUGAAGUGCGUUGCAAGACCAUGAUGACAAGUCAACCACACACUCUAUCCCUUCACACCUCCGAAUUCUACAUUUCUUCAAGUCAGUUGCCUUACGAAACAAAGGAAUAUGGCUUAAACAUUUGAAAUCAUUACACCCCUCAAUACGUAAAGUAUGAAGGUCAUUUGGGAGCACUACAUCGUCACACCUUUCUAUCUCCAAAUUUGUGAAUUCAACAUUUUUCUCAAUUUCGUUGAAAUCUGGGGAAUACCCAAUAUAAAUAUUCACAUCUGGUCCCACUUGAAAAUCGAAAGAUGUAGGCCAUUUACCUUGUGUAGACUCUGCAUAUUUCUUAAACUCUUGCAUGUCGCAAAAUGAACAUGAAACACACUCAAGCUUCCUCAAUUUGCCUACUUCUUCCCCCCUUAAAUGUAACUCCACCAGUAAGCAUUGCAGAUGAGAAAUCUUCACUAAUAUUCCCAUUGGUAGCUCCUUUAGAUGCGUUGACCCUAGACGAAAAUAUCUAAGGUUUUGUAACAUUUCUAUACCAUGAGGAAACUCCUCAAUGCUUGUACUAAAAAGGUCCAACUUUCUCAGUGCUCUGAGCUCUGCUAAUGAAGGCACAUAUUUUAACAUGUGACAAUUAGCAAGUAUCAAUGCAUUGAGAUUUUUCAACUUAGAGAUGGAAUUGGGUAGAUUCUCAAUCUCAUAAUUACCAGAAAGAUUUAGAACUUUUAGCCCAAGCAUGUGCUCAAAGAAAGAUUCUGAAAUCCUUUUUAAGUCACAAUAUUGCAAUAUCAAAGUUGACAAAUGAGGACAUUCAGGUGAUAUGUGAGCAGGGAUUUCUAUUAAUUUUGAAUUUCGCAUCAAAGAAACCUUCUCAACACUCGUUGUCCAUUCUUGCUCACUUGGUAGUUCCUCCAACUGCACAUUGGCUUUUACCAUGAACUGAUGACCUUUAAUAUACAAUGCCAGGUCUCUCAAAACAUCAUGCAUCUUAACUCCUCUUUCAUCCAAAUAAGUUUCAUCCCUCUCUAACAAGCAAUUAUUUUCAAGCUUAUUUAAAAUGCUAUGGCCUCUGUCAUGCAUUUCUUUUCUAGUCCUCAAGCCAUCAAGGAGUCCUUCAUCUAUCCAGUUUUCAAUUAAUUCAACUUUUUCAAUCACAAAAUCUUCAGGAUACAAGGAGCAAUAUAAGAAACAAUUUUGAAUUUUUGGAUCUUUCAAAUGGUCAUAACUGAACCUCAAACGCUCAAAUAUUUCAACAUCUGAUCCUUUCACACUUUUCACAUGCUCUUCUAAUUCAGUUAAUGCAUUUCUCCACUCACAAAUAUCAUUUACCCCCUUCAUGCUUUCAGCUAUUGUGACAAUGCUAAGUGGUAAACCGCCACAGUGCUCAACAAUUUUGUUGACAAUGUCUUUUAAAUUUUGAUCUUGUACAACACUAUGCCCCACAUGAUCUAAGAAUAAGUUCAUGGACUCUGUCUUUGAAAGUGGUUGCACUUUGACCACCUUACAAUCCAUAGAUUGACAAACCUCAAUCGAUCUACUAGUGAGUACAACUUUCCUCUCCAUGCCUAGUAUUGGUUCAGGGAUUCCCACAUCCAAUAAAGAAAAUCGUUUCCAAACAUCAUCUAAAAUUAACACAUAUCUUUUUCUCUCCAAAACAUCCUUUAUUGUUGUUGCUUGUUGCAAUUUAUUUUUAGGAAGAGAUUGUUUAAGAGAAUCUGCGAUAUCUUCUUGCAAUUUGAAAAUAUUCAAAUUUUUUGAUACAGUGACCCAUAUCACUUUAUCAAACUUCUCACUUUCCUUUAACAAUUGAUUAUUGAUAUGCUUCAUGAUGGUAGUUUUCCCUAUACCACCCAUUCCACAUAUUCCAAUCAUUCCAACCUUAUCACCCAUCAAAUACUUCCAAAUUUGCUCUAUUACAUCAAUUUCACCUUUUAUAUUUGGUGUUGGUAAUGUCACCCCAGCGGUUGGAGGCCCAUCAACUGCCACACCGUUAGGGAAACUACCUUGUUGGUGAAUUUCCUUUACCUCUUCAAUCUUUCGACAAACAAAUUUUCCAAAAUGACCACGUAAGAAGUAUGAAACAACACGGAACUUGGUUUCAAUCUUUUCCAUUUCAGUGUUUACCUUUUCUACAUCUUUAAACCAAUUCUCCACUUCUUUCUUCACCACUUUUCCAUGACGAAGCUCCGCUUCCUUUUUUAAUACGAGGUCUUCCUUUUGAUCAUUUAGAUCAUUCACUUUUCUUCGAAGAUCAUUCAUAUGUUCUUCAAGUUUCGGGUGAUGAUCUAUGUAUGUACAGAUUGGACCACCAAAGCACUUUAUUGCUUCAAAAAUUGGCCCUAUAAGCUCCAUAUAAGCUAUUCCCUGUAGUUUAAUAAACCAAGAUAUAUUAUAUCUCCAUAUGACAUAAGCUACUCCCUCUUUAUACUAAAAUUCUAUAUUUUCCAUAUAAUAUAGAAUAUGUUAGAAAAAAAUGUUACUAAAUAAAAGAUUUUUACCAAUUCUUCUUAAGAAAAAACAUAAUAUUUUUGAAAACAAUAUAAGAAAAAAGAUGUUUUUGUUUCCAUCAUGUUUGAGUAUAAUAUUUACAUUUCCAACACUGUUUAUAUCUAAAUGAAUGUAUUCAUUUUGCCCCUUAAAGAACCAUCGCAAAUUCUUGAAUAUAUCAUAUCUAUAUGGUUCCUAGUUUUGAUCAUUACAACAAUAAUAAAAGGAUGGUGAGAAUGGAGAAGUCAAUCUACUAUAAAUAUAUAAAUAACAAAAUUUUGAUAAAAGAAGGAAACGAUUUAAAAUUGAUAACUUCCUCUUCUAACACAUACACAUAUUAAAUAAAUGUUAUAUAUUUAUUAAUCAAUGCAAAAUUUUAAUUUUCAUAUUGAAAGACUAAAUUUACUAAAUUUGAUUAUCCAUUUUACACAUUUAAUAAAAAUUUAAGUUAGAAUAUGUAAGAAUAUCUAAUUGUUAGCGUUAAUAACUGUAGAAAUUACCAUUUAAUGUUGAAAAUGGAUAUUUUGACAAAAAAAAAUACAGGUAUAAUGCUAAAAAAACCCUUGAAUUAUUUACGAAAAUUUAAAAAAAAUUAUUCUUUUAUUAUGUUCAACCAUGCCCUUAUGCUUUUAUUUAAUUUAUAUUAAAUAAGCCUUUAUAACUAAUAGUUGAUUAAUUGUUAUUAAUCAAAAUAUCUCUCGUCAUUUUAUACUCACGUGGUGUUGAUGUGGCGUUGAUGUGUGGAGUAAAGAAUGAGAUAUGAUUAUGUCAUCAUACCACAUCAACAAGCUUUAAAAUAUCUUAAACAAUAAUUACAAGAAUAAACUGAGAAUGCAGAAUGACAUUAAAAAUACAUAAUUUCUUCUACAAAUUAUUUGGAAAGACGAAGAGCAGAGGUUAAGUUGACCAGUCAAUAAUUAAUUCCUUGGCUCCUUGUUAGGUACUACUCCUAUCUUGAGAGGACGUUGGUUAAAUAUGGGGAGAAAGGGACUGUCAAAAAAAAAUUAUCGGGAGAAAGGGAAGAUUAAUAUAUAAUUAUUCAUAAACAGUUGUUUUUAUACUAGAGCUAGAAUAUUUCCUUAUAUUGGAGGUUUAUUAUAAAAUAAAUCAGGGCUAGUACAACUAAUCUAUUUAAACUUAACGGCCAUUUUUUCUUUUGAUGGGAAAAAUAAAAACAAAGAGAAUUUCACAAACAUCUCAUAUAAGAUUAAUAAAUGUCAUAUAUUUGUAUUAAAUAAAUGUCAGGUAUCAAUGUAAAGUUUUAAUUUUGAUAUUCAAAGACUAAAUUUAGUACAUUUGAUUAUUUUCAUAUAUUCAGUUUACACAUUUAAUACAAAUUUAAAUUAGAUAAUUAGGUAAGAAUUUCUAAUUGUUAGCCUAAAUGAAUAUUGAAAUGACCACUUAAUGUUAAAAAUGGAUAUUUUCAUGCAAAAGCAUAUAUUUGAUAGCAUAACUCAAACAAAAGAAAAACUUUAUACUAUUAAAAUUUGCACUGAUUCCAUUUCGUUCUUUUCUAAUUGUUUCAUAAUGCUUGUAUUGUCUAUUAUUUCUAUUAAUUUUUUUUAACAAUUACUCCUAAUUUGAAUUUUCAGUACUUAUUACUAAUAUAAUAGUUAGUCAACAAUUUACAGUCAAAAUUUACCUUAUAUAAUUACUUAUUGCUUUACCUUACAAAUAUGAGAUGUUGGUACAUUUUUGUUAGAGACUAUAGUUGCUUAGGUUAUUUUAAUCCUUUUUUUCCCAUAUAUUUUGUCUACUAAUAUUUAGUUUUAUGGUUCCCUAGUCUCAAUUCCAUCAUCAAAAGUUUGAUUUCUUCUUUUUGUAUGCCUCUUUGAAUUAUUCAAUUCGAUCUUUAUAUAUAUUUUGACCUCUUUGAUUUAUUAUUAUUUGGUAAUUAUGUAUUUCGAAGUCCUUGCUGAAUUAUUCAAUUUCUUUAUUUUUUUAGUAAAUUGUUUUACUAUGCUCAUAUUUGUAAAUUUUCAUCAAAAUCAAUUACUCUUCCAACUAUCAAGAUCUUUAAGACAUUAUUGAUCAACAUGCAUAAUUCCAAUUUUUUUUUUUGGCAAUUUUUUAAUGUUCUUAUUUAGAUUCUAAAUUAAAAGAAUUAUUGUAAAUAACAUCAUCACCCUUGUACUGAACUGACUAAAUAUAGUUUUGAAUAAUAAUAAACAUCAUCUAGGCCAAAAAUAAUAAUAAAAUAUUAAACAUCAAUGACCAAAGAAAUAUUAAGCAUUUUGAAUAUUCGUAAAGAUUUUCAAUUGAGUCUCCUUGAUGAAUUAUUCAAUUUCUUUAUUUUUUAAGUAAAUUGUUUUACUUUAUUCGUAUUUGUAAAUUUUCAUUAAAAUCAUUUAUUCUUCUAAUUAUCAAGAUCUUUACGACGUUGUUCAUUGCAUGGGAAAAUUUUCAUUAAAAUCAUAUAUUUUAUGUUGUUAUCAAUAUUCCUAACUAAAAAGUAUAUAUUGUAAAUAAAAUCCUCAACCUCGCAUUGCACGGGCUAAAUCUAGUUUUCAAUAACAUCACCUAAAAUAAUAAUAAUAAUAAUAAACAUCAAACAACCAAGCAAAUAUUAAUCAUUUUGAAUAGUGUAAUCUAUCCAUACGUAAGGAAUAGUAUAUCUUUUCGAUAAUUAGAACAAGAAAGCUUGUGAAAACAACAAUAUAUCUCAAAAAAGACAUUUGAAAAAUACUUGCCAGAAUAAACAGAGAAUGACAUACAAAACACCUGGUUUCUUCUUCAAAUUAUUUGGAAAGAUGAAGCCCAAAGGUCAAUUAAAAUGAUCCACAAACCUCCCUGACUCUUUGUUCAGCACAAACUUCUUAGGCAGAAGAAACAAAUUGACAUAAAAUUAACAAGGAAAAUUAUUUUAAUAAAAAUGAAAAUUUUAUGUGCUAAAAUUUUCAGAAUCAUUCAUUUUCAGUUUUCACUAACUAUAAUUAAUUUUCACCUAAUUAAGUGAAAAAAAGCAUGACACAGACCAAUAAACAAAAUAAUUAUGUGGAAGGAAAGAUGAUGAAUCUGUGUUAUAAAUCUAAAAUAUGAACCCAUAUCUAUACUAAACAGUUUAAUUUACCUAGUCAAAUGAGGCAGAUGAGCUGAUACUUCUAUCCUCAAGGAUUCUUGCUUAAGUUUGCAAAAGUAGAUCUCCUUGCAAAAAAUUGUCAAGAAAAUAGCAACAAGCAGAUCUCCUUCCGAAAAUAUCCUCUAUGAAGGAAAAUGAAUAAUGAAGCACAUGAGUUAUUGAAAAGUGGGAAAGAUUAAUAUUUAUGUAAGAAACUGAAAUAAAUGCCCAACUUGUGUCUUAAUAUUGACAUGGAACUUAUAAUAAGAUGAAUUUAUGUUAUAAUUUAAGAUUCUGAUUAAUUAAUGUUAUCAAAGAUAAAACUAAAUCAUAAGUACACACAACUUAAUUCAGUAAGGCAGUGAAGUGAUAUUUCUAUCCUGAAAAGACCCUCAAUUAAUUGGAGAAACAAGUGCAGUCAAGAAAAAUAGCAGCAACAAAUAGAUUAUCUCCUUGCAAAAAAGAAAUCCCCAAUCCUAUGAGAGAAGAGAAUCAAUGGAUUAUGAAGAAAAAAAAUUAAAGUCGGCAGCACCCAAUCAAUUGACUCUUUGGUUGAUGCAUGAUUCUUUUUUAUCUAAAGAGUAGGCUUUAAAUCCCUCUUUCCCCAAUUAAAAAGAAAGAAUAAAAAUCAGAAAAUAUAAAGAAAAUGAAUUAUGAAAAACAUGAACUAUUGAAAAGUGGGCAAGAUGAAUAUUUGUACGGAUCUUAUGUUAAGAUGGGUUUGUGUUAUAAGGUAAGUUUCUGAUUAAUUAAUGUUACCAAAGAUGAAAGCAAAUAAUAAGCAUAGACAGUUUACCUGGGUCAGUGAGGCAGUGAAUUAAUUGAUACUUCUAUCCUCAAAAGGUCUUUAUUAAUUUUCGGAAACAAGCAUGUGGAAGAAAAAUAAACAGCAACAAGCAGAUGAUCUCCUUGCCAAAUUAAAAGAAAAUCCUAAACUUAAUCUUCCGUGAGAGGAAAAUUAAUGAAUUAUGAAGCAAAUAAGAGUUAAAAGUCAAUCCAAAGUCGUCGCACUAGUUGUGAAGUCACUUUCCUCGGAGCUGUUUCACAAUAAUGCAAAUGUGAAUAGAAGAAAAACUGGCAAAGUAGGACAGAAUUAUGGGGCCACUUAUCCUACUCUCCUUCAUUAUUUGAAAAGAUAAAUUGUUGAAGAAUAGCCCUCAAUUGGGGUAUUUCCAUUCCAUCAUCCGCUGUUUAAAUCAGAAAAAAAGAAGCAGCAAAGCAAAGCCAAGGUAAGAUGAUAGCAGCUAGGAAAAUCUCUUGUCCAAAUAUUAAUAUAUAUCUUUCGUGCCAAGAGAUAAUAAAUUAUGAGAAAAAAUAAUUAAUAGUCGUUGGGAAAGGUGAGUCAAUGCAGCAAGUCAUCGUUAAAAUUAAAUUAUGGGAAAAAAAAUAAUAGUAGGUGAGACAAUGCUGUAAGUCAUUGCUAACAUUGCUAACGUUUGCACCAAACUUUAAAUUAUGGGGAAAAAAUUAAUUAAUAGUCAAUGAGUCAAUGCUGCAAGUCGUUGCUAACAUUCCGAACGUUUGAACCAAACUUUAAAUUAUGGGGAAAAAAAUAAUUAAUAGUCAAUGAGUCAAUGCUAAAAUAUUGCUAACAUUUGUACAAAACUUUAAAUUAUGAGAAAAAAAUAAUUAAUAGAUAGUGAGUCAAUGCUAACAAUAUUGCUAACAUAUGUACAAAUCUUAUAUAAAUCUUAAUAAUUAUUAUAUGAAUCUUCUAUAAAGCCGAUUGACUUGAGAAAAGAUAAACAGGGAAAGUAAGGUUAUCCUCGAAUUUUUUCUUUUUAUUAACAUAUGACAAGUUCCCAGGCAAAAGCGAAAAUUCAAAUUAUUUCUAUAAUGAAGGGCUAAUUAACACCUUAUUAAUUGUUAAUUAAGUCUCCUUAAAACUACUCAUUCAGAUAAAUCAUAAUGUUUUUCCUUUUGAUAUAUAUAAAAAAGCUGUUCUAACUAUAUGAAUUUGUUCGAUCAUUGAUUUUCUCAAUCAAUCAGUUAGAGUUGAGCAGCAGAUAAUGUUUUAAGAAGUUGACGUGAAUAAAAUAUUGUGAGACAAUGAGCAGAGGGAAUGAGUAAACAAAUAUAUUACUCGACUCUAUAACAAAGAGUAGGAACUUCAAAUGUCAAUCUAUGAUUUAAUUAUCGGAUUAAUAUGUGCUACUAACACAAUCAAUGGUCCUGAAUAUCAAGAGUUGUUUGUUAUUAACACUACUCUGAAUUAGUAUUUGUAAUGUUUUUCCUUUAUUCUUAAUCAAUUCUAGAUAUGGAAAUUUGUUUGACCGUUGGCUUUCUGAAUCUAUCAGGAAUUGAAUAGACAAGGUGUUGUUAUAGGAAAGUUCAUGCAAUUGAAUACAUAAAGUGUGAAGUAAUGAGCAGCCAUUUUUAAUUAUUGAUUAAGUUGCUGCAGUUCUGAAACUCGUGAUUAUGAUGAGAUGUAAAUUUGAUGAAGUUAUUAUAACCCAAGAUUAAUUUAAUCAGCUAUCAAUGUCAAAGAACUUCACUUUCCUAGCUCAUAAACCGUGAACAGCCAUUUUUAAAUCUUGCUUGCAGUGUGUACAGAUCAUAUAUCUCAGAUGAUAGAGUUCGGCAGGAAAUCAAUCGAAUGAUUGGGCUAAAGCCAAGAUCUUCCAUGCUGAUAAGAAUAAAUGUAUCUGAUUGAGAGAAACUGAAUAUGCCUACUCCAUAAAAACAAUGAAUCAAAAUAUUAUUAUGCCUGUAAAUAUUUUUAUGGUACAUUAAAGGCAAAGAACUUGACAUGGGACAGGCAACAAGAUCGUCGAUAACAUCAUCAAUGAUUACAUUCGAGCCUUCUAUUAAGUUUAUGUAACAAAUACAAAUAAGUAAUGGCUUAUCAUGCAUUCUUAUUUUUGUUAUGAUAUGAGCAUUAAACGACUCUUCCUCAAUGAAACAUCUGAAAGAGUGUAGGAUAAAAGAAAUCAAAACAAUUUACAACUGAUGAAGUUUCAGUCCAGUCAUCUUGUUAAUGUCUCUGUGAGACAAAUAUACCGCAAGUAGGCACUUGCAGGGUGCUAUGCUCAAAUUGGGACUAAACUACCGGUAUCAAAGCCUAAGGUACAAAACAUACUGCUCAAUAGCAUAUAAUAAUAAUGACUUGGAGAUGAAAGAGUUAAGUAUACAGUUAAUCAAUUAUCGAGCAUCUAGUACUGACAGGGUCAUUUCAUUUGUCGAAGAAGAUACAUGAUUGUCUGAUGAAGAACCUUCUUCAUGAAGUGGUCUUUUCAGCAAUAGAAAACUACGUUGUAUGGGUGUGGCAAUUUAGUUUCACUUCCCAACAUCAGAAUCACAGAUGACAUACUUGGCCUAUCCUCAGGAUGCUGUUGUACACUUAAAAGACUAAUAUGGAUGCAUUGUAUCACUUCUAAUAGGUUGCAAGACUCUUCUAAGCAUUCUUCAACAAGUUCUGAAGGGUGCCUUAUUUCCAUAAUCUCCAUGCCUGCAACAAAUUGAAACCCUUUUAGGUUUUAUCAGACCAAGAUAAGCAACUAAAAUUUGAUUAUAAUCCCUGCUUAAAGAGCAGGGUUCAAAUCCCCCUUCCCCCAAGUCCAAAAAAAAAAAAUCGGCUGAAACUGACAUGCUCAACAAGGUUGGCGCUCUGAGUUGGAUGGUAAAGGCCUCUAUCUUUCUUCCCACUUAAUAUCUCCAGCAGUAAUAUACCAGAGCUAAAGACAAUUGAUUUUGCUGAAAAUAGUCCAUCAAUAGCAUAUUCUGGUGCCAUAUAACCACUGCAGAACAUCAUUUAAAGCAAUAAAUAUAUGAGGAUUUUUAGACAUUAUGAAAUAAAGUGACACUUACUAAGUUCCAGCCACUCUUUUAGCAUUCCCUUCAGUUUGGUCUCCUCCAAAAGUUCUAGCCGAGCCAAAAUCUGAAAAUUUUGGAUUCAUCUCACUAUCAAGCAGGACGUUACUACCUUUAAGAUCUCUAAAUAAUCCUCAAUCCUGAAUCUUGAUGAAGAUAGAGUAGUCCCCUAGCAUUGUCACAGAUAAUUCCCAAACUCUUGGACCAAUUCAGUCCUUUACUUCUUGUUUGAUCUGGCAAUUGGUAGGUAUUCUCUUCAUGUCAGUCCAAUAUCAUUUUUGAUCUUUGGAAGCAGCAAACUGCACCAUGUGUAAAAUGUAUGAAAUAUUUAUAAUAAGAGAAACAAUAAACCAAACCAAAUUGACAGGUUUUCAAUGAUUCAGACCACAAAUGAAUGAGUGAAGGCUUCUGUUAAGCAUGUACUCAUAAACCAGCAGUCUUUACUUUCUGUGAAUGCACCACCCAAGAAGCCUUACAAGAUUCUGAUGUUGAAGUUUGGCAAUCAAUUUUACUUCAUUUUUAAACUCUUUCAAUCUUGUCCAGAACUUUUUGAAAGCCUCUUCACAGCAAUUUCUUGUCCGUUUGCUAGUGUCCCCUGGAAAACUACACUUUAGAUUGAGCUUCAAUAAUAAAGAUAAAUUCUCUGUACUUAAGGUAACUUCAAUUAUAUGAUGCAACUUUUACCUUAUAAACAGUUCCAAAACCACCUUCCCUUACCUUGAUGUCCACAGAAAAGCUAUCAGCAGCACGAGCUAUGGUAUGAGGCUCAAAUAUUGGAAGCUCCAUGUCUUCAUCUUGGCCUUGAUUUUCUUGAUCAUUUUCCUUAUUGUCUUUUGUUUCUCUGAAACAGUAGCCAAAAUAGGCUUGGCAAUCACCAUAAAAUAUGAUAGAUUCUUAUGCAUUUUGAUUGAGCUAGAUAAUUGGACAAAAAGCUGAUGUGGUUUUUGAGAUCACACAAGACCAUGCAUCUCCAGUCAUUUGCUUCAUUAAAAACUCUAUUUUCACACUGAUAAGCAUUGAAGAAACUGCAUGUUGAUUUGCUAGCAUCACUAUUAACAAAGUAAUUUUUAACAAAGGAACAAAAUGAGCAUUUUUGUGAAGGAUAUAUCAAAGUUACCUUUCAACUUUCUGGGGCUUCUGUAAAUGUAAUAACUGACAAUAAACAGCCCCGAAAGCACAGGACAGUAGUGUUCUAAUCACUGCAGCAAGCUCCAUCCUAAGCUUAUCUUUCAAUUCUGUAUGACGGAAUUUGAUAAAGAAAAGCAUAUAUGAACAAAAAAAAGUAAUGAAAACAAGAGAAAAUGUACACUCAUACCUGAUUUUGAAGCAGACAUUCUAACAUAUAGAUCCUGCCCUACUGAUUGAAACUGUUUGUAAUCAAUCAAAUUAUCAAACCAAAAGGCGCAACCACAACCUCUUCCUCCAUUAUCUGAACUAGUGUAUGCUUGGCUUUCUGCAUUCCAUGUGAAGUCUUGUAUCAUCAGUUUGGUUGAGAACAAGUCCUGUGAUCAAUGAUUUCUAUUUGAGACAUUUUGUAUGGUUGAAAUAUCAAAUAGAAAUACCAGGCUGAUAGAUCAUGCAUUCUUUUAUAGGAUGAUGUGAUUGACUGACUCUUCAUCAAUGAACUAUACACAAAGUGCAGUAGAAAACAAGUAACAAACAUUUAGAUUUAUGAUAACUUGUCAAUAUGGGGGGCUAAACUUCUUUGAUAAAAAUUCGAAGUUUAUUUCAUGAUGUCCUGAGCUUAGCUAGGCAUCUUUCUAAACGCUCAAAAAGCGUUUUAUAGCUAAUGGACAGAUUAGUGAUCUGAAGAGGUAGUAAUCUUGUUUUUAAUCUUUAGCCAGGGCCUUUUGGCUAGCUGCUCACUCACUUUCAAAGAAGUGCUUCUAAACAUUUAUGAGAAAUAGGGGAUGCUCUGUUUGUAAUUGCAGGGUAAAGACAAAUUUUUAAUUAGUGGUUUGUCAUGACCAGUAAUAUCUCUCCAAUACCUAUGUUGAGAAGAGAGAAAAAUAAAAUGGCUAAGAGCAAUGUUAUACAUGAAAUGGGUUUACAUAGACAUUGAGUUUCAAAGGAGCCGUAGCUGGUACUGUUAUAAAGUUUGGACUGAGAAGGAGAAAGUUUUAUGCAUCAUUUUGUGGAUGAAUGAGGUAAGAAGAUUUAGUACAUAAAAAGGUAUUCGAUUGGGGAUUUUACCGCCAUACAUAAAAUUAAAAACCUUAUUUUCUUUUUUAUAAAAAGAAGAGCAAUUAUAUACCAAAUGAGAAAGAGAUAAAUGAAUAAAAAUAAAAACAGAAUGUUUGCAAUUUUAACAAGAAGCAAGAGGGCACUGUACCAUUGAGGGCCGUGGAGCCACAUUUAAUCGAAUAGCUCUUCUCCAUCUCAUUCUAAUUAUAUGUAACAAAGGGAGAAAGGACAUCCUUAGCAUCAGGCUGAUUCCAUUUCUUCUCCUUUGUGAUUUUCUUCCGAUGCUAUUAUUUCCUCCAUUUCUUCACAACUGCUAACACUAAUUUCCUCUAAGUUUUGGAGGCUCUUCAACAGCUCAACUGGAAACAACUUCUUAAUCUUCGAACAUCUACACAUAUCUAAUAUUUUAAGAGAAGAGAAGAUGGUAGGUGGUGUUGGAGCAUCAGAGUAAUUCUUUAGCAAAUGAGAAAGAGAUGAAAAUAAACUCACAAUUAAUGUUUGCAGUUCUUAAUAAGAAGCAAGAGCCUUACAGCCACAAUUAAUCAAACACCAAUUCUCCAUCUCAUUCUACCAAUAUUGAACAAAGGGAGAAAGGACCUCCUUAGCAUCAGGCUGAUCCCAUUCCACUGAUUCCCACCAUUCUCUCGGGCUUACUGUCAUUUUUGGUAGAGAAGGAGGAGGAGAUGGUUUCCCAUUUUCAACAAGGGGAAGAGACAAAGGGAUCCUCUUAACUUCUGGACAUUCAACUAUAUGAAGAAAUUGGAGAGAAUCUGCAGGAAUCAUAAGUCCACCGCUGCAAAUGCUUUUCAAUUUUGGUAAUUCUUCCAAGACUAAUGAUUUUAAUUUGGGAAGAAUAAAUGUUGUUCCUUCUCCUUUGUGAUUUUCUUCUGAUGCUAUUAUUUCCUCCAUUUCAUCACAAUAUCUAACAUCAAUAUUCUCUAAGUUUGGGAGGCCUUGCAACUGCUCAACUGGAAACAACUUCUUCACCCUCGAACAAAAACUGAUAUCUAAUUUUUUAAGAGAAGAGAAGAUGGCAGGUGGUGUUGGAGAAUGAGAGGUAGAUUCAAUUUCAACUGCUACUCCUACUCUCACAACUUCACGCAAGUUUUUCAACAAAAAUAGGCGUAACUCCUCAAUGUUGUCAAGUGCGUCACAAGACGAUAAUGACAAGUCAACCACACACUCCAUCCCUUUACACUGCCAAAUUCGACAUUCCUUCCAGUCAGUCGCCUUACGAAACAAAGGAAUGUUGUUUAAACAUUUGAAAUCAUCAUACUUGUCAAUAGUUAAAGUUUGAAGGUCAUGUGGGACCACCCUAGGGACCAGUCUGAUGAGUUCUAUCUUUCAGGGAAUUCAGGCUUAAACAUCAACUUUCAGGGAAUUAAGGCUUGAAUCCUUCAAAAAGUGGGAGCUGAGUACCAUCACAAUUCCCUUUUGAACCACAAAGUCCAUAUCUGUCAAAAUAGUCUCUUGGAGCAAAUGAGAAAAGCAUCCAAGCUUGCUUUCUGCAUUUCAUGUGUAGUCCUGUGAUCAAUGAUUUCUAUUUGAGACACUUAUGAUGGUUGACAUAAAAAAUAGAAAUACCAAGUGGGUAGAUCAUGCGCUGUUUUCAUAGGAUAAUGUGAUUGAUUGACUUUUGAUGAAUGAAGUAUACACAAAGUGCAGCAGAAAACAAAUUAUAAACAUUCUCUUCAUUGGACAAACAUAACUUCAAUGACUUACUUGUAUUAAAUGAUUUCCAAUUCAUCAACCAUUUGAGACUAGUGUGGAUGUGCAGGAUAGUCCUAAGAAUUCAUCACCAAGUUCAACAGGGGUGCCUUCCUUCCUCCCAUAAUCUCCAAGCCUGCAGCAAAUUGAAAACCUUUUAGUCAUUUUGCUAUAUCUUUCAACAUUUUAAUUCAUAAUAAUCAAAGUAUUUUUGAAACAUGCGAGUGAAAAUGAAAAUAAAGGAAACGGGUGGGAAGGUGUAAUAGGAGGGGAUGUAGGAAAUGUGAGAUAGCAAUUGGCGGAGAAAUGCAGAUUGAAGGGUGUUGAGUUGGAGAAUUUAUUUUUAUAUUAAAAAUAAAAAGUUAAAGACUUAGUUUUAUUUUGAUAUUAAAAAAGAGAAAUUAUUUAACAAAUGAGAAAUUAAGAGAUAAAAAGAGGACGUGGAUGAAAAUAAACUCACAGUGUUUGCAGUUCUUAAUAAGAAGCAGGAGCCUUACAGCCACAUUUAAUCAAACACCUCUUCUCCAUCUCAUUCUACCACUGAGAAUAUCGAAGAAAGGGAGAAAGGACAUCCUUAGCAUCAGGCUGAUCCCAUUCCACUGAUUCCCACCAUUCUCUCGACCAUACUGUGAUUUCUUUUAGAGAAGGAGGAAGAGAUGGUUUCCCAUUUUCAACAAGGGGAAGAGACAAAGGGAUCCUCUUUACUUCUGGACAUUUGAUUAUAUAAAGAUAUUGGAGAGAAUCUGUAGGAAUCAUAAGUCCACCACUGCAAAUGCUUUUCAAUUUUGGUAACGUAGCCAACUUUAAUGAUUUUAAUUUGGGAAGAAUAAAUGUUGUUCCUUCUCCUUUGUGAUUUUCUUCUAAUGCUAUUAUUUCCUCCAUUUCAUCACAAUAUCUAACAUCAAUAUUCUCUAAGUUUGGGAGGCCUUGCAACUGCUCAACUGGAAACAACUUCUUCACCCUCGAACAAAAACUCAUACGGAAUCGUUUAAGAGAAGAGAAGAUGGCAGGUGGUGUUGGAGCAUGAGAGGUAGAUUCAAUUUCAACCGCUACUCCUACUCUCACAACUUCACGCAAGUUUUCCAUCAAAAAUAGGCCUAACUCCUCAAUGUUGUCAAGUGCGUCACAAGACGAUGAUGACAACUCAACCACACACUCCAUCCCUUCACACUCCCCAAUUCGACAUUCCUUAAAGUCAGUCGCCUUACGAAACAAAGGAAUGUUGUUUAAACAUUUGAAAUCAUCAUCCUUGUUAAUAGUUAAAGUUUGAAGGUCAUGUGGGACCACCCUAUCAUCACACCUCUCUAUCUCCAAAUUUCUAAAUUCAACCUUUUUCUUAAUUUCUUUGAAAUCUGGGAAUCCCCGAUAUAAAUACCCUUAAGUGGUCCCACUUGAAAAAAGAAAGAUGUAGGCCAUUUACCUUGCGUACACUCUGCGUAUUUAUUAAACUCUUGCACGUUGCGAAAUGAACAUGAAACCCACUCGAGCUUCCUCAAUUGGCCUACUUCUUCUCCCUUUACAAACGUAUCCUCUAGCAUUAAGCAUUGGAGAUGACAAAUCCUCCGUAAUAUUCCUACUGGUAGCUCUUUUAAAGCCCAUGACCUCAUACGAAGAUCUCUCAAGUUUUCUAACAUCUCUAUGCCAUGAGGAACCUCUCCAAUUCCUGUACCCGAAAGGUCCAACUUUCUUAGUGAUGUGAGCUCUACUAAGGAAGGCACAUAUUUUAACUGGUUACAACAAAAGAGUAUCAAUGCAUUGAGAGUUUUCAAGUUAGAGNUCCUGUAGCAUUAAGCAUUGGAGAUGACAAAUCCUCCGUAAUAUUCCUACUGGUAGCUCUUUUAAAGCCCAUGACCUCAUACGAAGAUCUCUCAAGUUUUCUAACAUCUCUAUGCCAUGAGGAACCUCUCCAAUUCCUGUACCCGAAAGGUCCAACUUUCUUAGUGAUGUGAGCUCUACUAAGGAAGGCACAUAUUUUAACUGGUUACAACAAAAGAGUAUCAAUGCAUUGAGAGUUUUCAAGUUUGAGAUCGACUUCGGCAGAUACUUUAAGAAAAUAUUAUGUGAAAGAUUUAAAACUUUUAACUCAGGCAUGUGCUUAAAAAAAGAUUCUGAAAUCCUUUGUAAGCCACAAUUUUGCAGUUUCAAAGUUGAUAAAUGAGGCCAUCUAGGUGAUAUGUGAGGAGGAAUUUCUAAUAUUGAAUUUUGCAUCAAGGAAACUUUCUCAACACUCACUGUCCAUUCUUGCUCACUUGGGAAUUCUUUCAAUUGCAUACCUGCUUUUACCAUGAACUGAUGACCUUUAAUAUACAACAACGCCAUGUCCCUUAAAGCAUCAUGCAUCUUAACUCCAUCAAUAAAAUCUUCAGCCCUCUCUAAUAGGCAAUUAUUUUCAAGCUUAUUUAAAAUGCUAUAACCUCUGUGAUGCAUUGCUUCUCUGGUCUGUAAGCCGUCAAGGAGUCCCUCAUCUAUCCAAUUUUCAAUUAAUCCUACUUUACUAAUUAUAUAAUCUUCAGGAUAUAAGGAGCAAUAUAGGAAACAAUUUUGGAUUUUUUGAUCUUCCAAACGAUCAUAACUAAACUUCAAAUGCUCAAAUAUUUCAAUAUCCGAUCCUUUCACACUUUUCACACGCUCCUCUAAUUCAAUUAGUGCAUUCUUCCACUCACAAAUAUCAUCUACCUUCUUCAUGCUCCCGGCGAUCGUCACAAUGCUAAGUGGUAAACCGCCACAUUUCUCAACAAUUUUAUUGACAAUGUCUUUUAAAUUUUGAUCCUGUACAACUUCAGGCCCCACGUGAUGUAAGAAUAAGUUCAUGGACUCAUUCUUUGAAAGCGGUUGCACUUUGACCACCUCACAACCCAUAGACUCACAGACCUCAAUCAAUCUACUAGUGAGUACAACUUUCCUCCUCAUUCCUAACGUUGGUUUAGGGAUUCCCACAUCCAAUAGAGAAAAUCGUUUCCAAACAUCAUCUAAGAUCAACACAUAUCUCUUUCCCUCCAAAAUAUUCUUUAAUUGUGCUGCUCGUUGCAAUUCAGUUGUUGGAAGAGCUUGUUUCAAAGAAUUUGCAAUAUCUUCUUGCAAUUUGAAAAUAUUCAAUUCUUUUGAUACAGUGACCCAUAUCACUUGAUCAAACCGAUUAUCCUUCAACAACUGAUUAUUGAUAUGCUUCAUAAUGGUAGUUUUCCCUAUACCACCCAUUCCACAUACUCCAAUCAUUCCAACCUCAUCACCCAUCAAAUACUUCCAAAUUUGUUCUUUUACAUCGAUUUCACCUUCUAGAUUUGAUGUUAGUAAUGUCACCCCGGUGGCUGGAGGCCCAUCAACUGCCACACCGUCAAGGAAACUACCUUGUUGGUAAAUUUUGUUUACGUUUUCAAUAGUUUGGCAAACAAAACUUCCUAGACGGCCACGUGACAAGAAUGAAACAGAAGGGAACUCCUCUUCAAUGUUUUUGACUUCAUUGCCGACCUUUUCUACAUCUUUGAGCCAGUUCGCCACUUCUUUCUUCAUCUUUUUCCCACAACGCUCCUCUGCUUCCAUUUUUAGUUCGAGGUCUCGCUUUCGGGAAUUUAGACUAUUCACAUUUCCUCGAAGCUCAUUCAUAUAAUCUUCAAGUUUCCGAUGAUGAUUUAUGUAUGGACCCCCAAAGCUCCUUAUCACUUCAACAGAUGACAAUAUCCAAUCCAUAUUAUAAGCUCAC